UUUUUUUUUUUUUUUUUGGUUGGAAGUUGAAAUUAAUGCUGUAAGCUUGACAUGAUAGAGAUUUCAAACUUUAUUAUCAAGUUUUUUCUAAUUUGCAAAAUAGAUUUUUUUUUUAAAAAAGAAAUAUUUAUGUAAAGGAAUAAAAUAGUUUUACAUUUAAAAGAAAAAGUAUUUUAAUUUAUUAAUAUUUAAAUAUUAAAUAUGAAUGGAAAGAAUAUGAAUAUAUAUGAUUGUUUUUGUGAAUAUUUUAAUUUAUUAAUAGUUCAUGUUAAUGAAAAUUAAAAGUUAGUUUUUGUGAAUAUAUAUGAUUGUUUUAUGCUUUUUUUAAUCAAUUACUUUGAAAACUUUUCUAAUGGAGAGAGAGAGAGCCAUGCAUGCAGAAGAAGUCGACUACAAAUGAAAACAGCAGCUUACGUAUUUGAUUACUGUGUCUAACCAAUAGAAGGAGCCUCCUCACAGCACACUCAAAACUGGAGCCUCCAAUUCCAAACCCUUAAUUAAAAACCAUUAAAAAAAAACACACCACUGUAGAUUAGAUAUACAGCUUCCACACCAAAACCCUAGUCCGAAUAUUCAUACCCUAAACCCUAUUCUAAAGCACUACCAUUUCUUCUAACAGCAACAGCAUGCAGAGGACUCUUCAUCUCACAUGAGAGUUUCAACACCUCGGUCAGGUCCACUGGGUGAGCCACGUCUUGGAUCCACCUAAAAUGGUGCACCAGCUUGGCCACCCACAGGCUCACGGUGACAAGACCCAGGUUCUUCCCUGGGCACACCCUCCGACCAGCUCCGAAAGGAGCCAGCCUCAGGUCGCUACCUCUCACGUCCACGUCAGCCCCGCCCGCGCUCUCGAGGAACCUCUCCGGGUUGAACUCCGACGGGUUGGGCCAGAUUUUGGGGUCGUGGGUGAUGGCCCACAUGUUGACCAUGGCGGUUGUGUUAGUGGGGACGAGCAUGCCGUUGCUGAGCUGGACAUCUGAUGUGGACAGCCUGGCCCAGGAAAGGAGUGGGCCCGGUGGAUGGACCCUAAGAGCCUCCUUCACUACAGCCUGCAAGUAGGGCAGUUUGGCCACGUCAGCGUCUGUCACGCUCUUGUUCAUCACCAUCAUGUCCAGUUCGGUCUGAAGCUUGGUUUGUACCUCAGGGUGCAACACCAGUUCGGCCAUGACCCACUCGGUUAACAGUGCGGUCGUAUCAGUGCCUCGGAAUAUCAUUUCCUGAAACCGUAAGCUCAGUGAGUCAACUCAGUCUCAAUUGUAAUGACGAAGAAACGAUAGAAAGAUAAAACACCUGGGACGUACCCAUAACACAGCAACCAUGUCGUCUUCAUGAAGCUUCUCUUCACCGUCCAAAGAGAGGAGAACGUCGACGAAAUCAGAAUUAUCAGACAGCCUGCUGGACUCACCGAGUCGGUGUUCCUGGAUGAUGCCUCGGACGAGUUUUCUGACUCGGGGAACGAGUUUGGAGCAACGUUCAUUGAUACGAAACGGGUCGUAGAAGUAGCUCAGCCAUGGAAGAUAAUCCGACCAGUUGAAAGCACCAAGAAGCUCGAACCCUUCUUUGACCAUGGCUCUCAGCUCAUUGAGUUCGUUGCUAUCAUGCGUCGGAUCGUACCUCUUACCAAACACGCUACCCAUGAUGUUGUUGAGAGCCGCCGCCUGAAGAUGCUUCCUUAAACACACUGCCCCAUGCAGGGCCUGCUCAUCGGCUAUGCUGCACAGCAUGGCGGCGCAGUCUAGCUGUCGGCCAGCUUCAUGGGCUGCGAUGCGCUUGGGCGCAAAGAGGUGGGACGACGCAAUUCUUCUAAGGAGCCGCCAGUGGGCACCAUUUGGAGCAAACCCAAUGGCGCGGCUAAACAUGAGGCUCUUCGCCGACUGUUUGAUCGGACGAUCGGCAAAGUGAGGGGAGGCCAGGAUUUCACGGGCGGUGUGAGGGUCAGAAGCUACCACAACCGGAGUGGAACCAAGGCUGAAAGCCAUCAGCUGGGUAGCACCUCUACUGACAGCCAUAGAAGCCAGCGAGCGGUGAGCCAACCCGCGAGUGAGAGUGAGCAAGCUUCCAAAGAUAGGAAGACCUCGAGCCCCAGGAAUAGAAACACGCCCUCUUUCAUUCCUCCUAUUCUUCCAGGCGAUCCCACCAACAGCAAAACCCCAGGCAAAAAGCGAAGCACAGGCAAAAGCAAUUAACAAAGACCCCAAAACAUACCCAUCAAGUAAGUUUCCGGAUCCAAGAAAAGCAGGGAGUGUGAACACCCACCAGUUGGUAUCCUUGGAAACCAAACCCAACUCCAUUACAGCAUAGAAAUAGAAAAGAAAGAAGAUUGACUCAGCGUAGCCAAAGGAGAAGAUGAUGGACGGUGAGGAGAAAAUGUGAGAUGGGGGAGUAUAAAUAGGGGAGCAAGGGGGUUCGAUGCUUGGAUUCCCGUGGAGCCUGUAAACGAGAGAGAUAGAUGGAGGGUGGGCUUUGCAUGAGAGCAUUGAGGGGUUAAAACCUUGAACGGCGCAUGUCCAUAUGUAGAGUUACAGAGAACAUUGAAUGAGACCCAUAGAUUCUGACUAGUGAGGGUGAAAACGGCGAGCGAAUUUUGGGAAUUGAUAGUGAGAGGGAGAGGGAGAGAGAAAGAGGAGAGAGAGUGAGCUGCUGAGCGAUCUGGACGGCCAGGGGCAAUACUUGCUGUUCAAGGAACGCAUUGAGAGCUGUGACGGGUUGGGUGUAUUAAUAAGAGACUGAACAGCUGAGCCAGAAAGAGACUGAGAUAGGGUUGGGUGUAUUAAUGUCAAAGCUGAGAAUAACUUUUUGCUACAUAAUCUUAUAUAAACUCUCACAAUAAUAUAUUCAAAGAUUUUUUUUUUAAAUCUAUUAUUUCGUUUUUCAAUUUACCCGGUUUCCCACUUAUCUUACCAUUUCGCUAAAACCUUAUUCGACACAGUUUUUAAAUCUAAAUUAAUUAAUUCAUAUUUAAAAAUAAUUUUAUCGAGAAUCUAAUUCUAAAAAAUUGUCUUAUUACGAGCCUUUUAAGGUAAGGCUCAGUGAAAAAUAAAACUUCAAAAUUUAUUCUCAUAUUAGUUUUGUUCUUACCAUUUUCCCAUUAUCAUGGUACAUGAAAAGCAAAAAAAAAAAUUAUUUAUAAAUAUCCGUAAAGUGUUUAUAUUUUUUUAUAUAAAAAAAUAUAAAUAAUUUUAUAAAUAUUAUAGAUCAAAAACAAGAUAAACGUCUAUGAAAUAAAAACAUUCAUUAGGAUAUAGAUGUGUAAAAUAUUCUCAUCUUUAUGGAGUUAGACGUAGCUGAAUAAUUAUGUUUAAACCUCGUAUGAUUUUACAUGUGUUAAUAAUUUAAUUUUUUGUUAAACAUGCCUACAAAAGCCUUUGUUGAAAAUAUUUAAAUUUGAAGAUUUUAGAAAGAGUAAAGAAAAUGUAAAAGCUAAUUGUAAAAAGAAUUUUUAAUUAAAAGUAAAAAUGAAAUUUUAUCAUUUUUAUUAAUUGAAUAUUUAUAAUUUUGAAUUACCAACAUAUAGGUUUGAAUACAUUUUUUUUUUAAUUUUAAAAUUAAUUUUGGAUAAAAUAUAAAAACUCUUAAAAACUUCCAUUAAAAAAUAAACAAAUUUAAAAACUAUUUAGAAAAAUUGAUGUGUACAAUUUUUUACAACUUCAAAAUUUUUUUUUUUUUAAAUCUACAAACAUAAAAUAAACAUAUUUUUCUGUAGAGUUUUUACCAUUUAUAUAAAAAUUAUUAGUAUUUUCAUGGUUUUUAAAACUAUAUAUAAAAAAAAGAGCUACACAUCAAAUUUAAAAAUCUUUUAAAAUAAUUUCUAGAAACAUAAAGUAAAUCUAAUUUUUUUUAGUGUUUUCAGUUUAUAACAAUUAUUAAUAUUUUUUAUUUAAAAACAAGAAAUAAGAAAUAUAUUCAAAUGAUACUUAAUUUUUUAUUUUUUCAUAAAUGAAAAUAAAAUAAUAUAAGAUAGGUGAUUAAGUAGAAUGGGAUAAACUUUUUAUAAAUAUCUUUAUUUCUUAUUUUUUUAAGUUUAUUAUAUACACUUUUUAAAGUCAAGUAAGAAAAAAAAAACCAAAUAGAAUAAGAAAAAAAAAAAAAAAGGAAGAUUUAGGGAAAAAAUAUACUAAUUUUUUCUUCCUAAAAUUUCCGAUAAAUAAUUAAAUAAAUAAUAUUUUUACAAAUAUUUCCUUAAAAUUUUUCAAAAUGUAAGAUUAAUUAUAAAAUUUAUUUCUAGAAGAUAAUAUUCAAUUCAUAAAAUGGCUCACAAGUUAAGGCGUGUGAAAUUGAAAUUAAAGAAAAAAAUAAAUGAAACGUGAAAGUAGUAAGUUUACAUUAUUAUAUUGAAGUAAAAGGAAGACGACAAAAAAGAGAGGGACCCGGCUACCUAAUGAAGAAAUAAGUACGAAAGUACCCAAGCUUGGAAAGUUCUAUAAAGCUGUCUUCAUUAUUAAAUAUUUUAUUAAUUCUCUUUACACCUCUAGGGCAGGUGGGGACUGGCCUACAGGGUAGAUGCCUUCAUCCAAAUUUAAGUGGAUUUUUAUGAGUGUUUAAUUAAAUAAAAAAUAAAAAUAAUUUUUUUAAUGUAGAAAUUGAUUGAAUUUUAAAAUAAUUAUCAAAAUAACUCUUGUAGUCCACGUGGUUACUCACGCGGUGGUGGUGGAAAUUUUCUCAUUUUUUAUGUAAUAUAACCAUAAUUAUCAUUAAGGGGUAAUUUCUUUUAUUAGGUUUAGUUGGUGUUUAUUUUAUUUUUUUAUUAAAGAGAGAAAAUUAAAAUAUUUAGUUUUUUUAUUUAAUUAAAAAUAAUAUAUUGAUAUCAAUCAAAAUAAUUAAAGUGAACUUAUCAUCUAUAAGUUCAAUUUAAUUAUAUUAGUUGAUGUCAACAAAUUAUUUUUAGCUGAUAAGAAAAAGUAAAUAUUUUUUUUUUCAGUUAAAAAGUAAAUAUCACUGUAGACCCCCAUUUAGGCAUGGGUCACUUUUUCUCUAUUUGUUUUUGCAAAUCACAUUUUUAGCCAAGUGUCACUAUCCCAGCGGGCCACGUGUCACGUCCUUAGUGGUCAUAAGGAAUCAACCUCGUUUUUUUUAAGUUGGAGUAGGACUUUGACACGUGGAGGAACUUUCUGGAAGGGGGUCCCGCAUGCCGUUAGGGGGCGCGGAUGAGAGAGAAGGAAAGGUGGUUGCAGAAGGUGGUGCAGGAAAGGUGGCUACGGCAUAGAUCGUUGGAAAGGCAAAAAAAUCCGGGAAAUGAGAUGAGGUUUUCUGAAAGGGGAUGGAGACAACAUUGUAGAGGAACAGAGGAGUUUUUCUGAGAGUUUUGAGAGAAAGAGUAUUGGUGGAACUGGAGUAGGAAGCUAAGAACGGAGGAGCGUAGAGUUACUGGGAAGAGUCCAGGACACGGAGCUGAGAAGAGAGAUUUCCAGGUAUGACCAUUUGUUUUUUUUUUUUUCUAUAUAUUUUCCAUUUUUUUUCAUACUGUCCAAGUCUGAUUCUUAAUGAUUUUUCAUUCCUGCUUGUUGGGUUGUUCUAUUUUGGUGAUUACUAAUUAAAUAUUGGAAGAGUUUGCUGUGUUUUAUGCCCUAUUCUGACGAGUAUUUUCCAUCUUAACUCAUUGGAUGUUGGACCCAUGGAUGAAACGAUGAAAUGGGUCCGAUAUGCUGGUUAAAGUCUUCAUGUUCUUCUUCUUGUUGCUAUCCUGUUAUCUCCUUGUUUUCUUUUCCUCCCUGAGUGCAUACUCAAGGCUCCAAAGUCGAGAGAAAGUUUGGGUUGAAGCGGAACCUAGCAUUCGAUGGUGUGGUGGUCCGUGGGCAAGAUCUUCAGGUCCGAGUUGAAGUGCGAGGUGGAUUCAUCAGAAUAAGAGGAGCACAUUUUGUGAUGAAUGGUAGCCCUUACUAUGCAAAUGGCUUCAAUGCCUACUUAGUUGAUGUAUUUGGUUCUUGACCCAUCUCAGCAUGCCAAGGUCUCAGCUACUUUUCGCGAAGCUUCAAGCCAUGGCCUCCUUAUGGCUAGAAUUUGGGUUUUCAGUGAUGAUGAGAACAGGCCUUUUCAGCUUUCUCCAGGUUUUCACAGUCAGCAAAUACCCAAGGUUGCAUACUACCAGACAUAUUCGUCGGCUAGACGUGGAGGUACAUCUGUUGGUGGCCUGCCCAUUGUGUUUAUGUCCAUGCACAUGUCUUCACUCUGCAUGACCCCUAUCUCUAUUCCCACGCAAGCGUGUCGUCAUCUCAUCCCCAUGUUUUUUUUCCUUAUCUACCAUACCCAUCGUUCAUCUAUCCACCUCUCUCUCUAGGUCGUCAUACCCAUUUCCUCACUCAAGCUUGCAGGAAUCAAACAUCCUCCACCACACCCAUUUUCCUCUCAUUCAUUCUCCAUCCCACUCCCUCACUUACAUGGAGUCUCAUGGGUGCAUGUUAUCCUUCACUCCUUCACAUACCCAUUAAAACCACUCACCCAAGCUUCCAUAUCCAUGCAACCCAUACCCAUCCUUCAUGCUACUCAUAACCAUGUUCUACCAUACCCAUGUGUACACCCAUUUGACCAUACCACUAAACCCGUUUCUCUCUCUAAACCUUCACCUACCUGUGGGAUCCUCCCUAAAAAAACGCCACAUGGCUCUCUCUCCCUUGCAUACGUAGACGGUCCCCCUUAAGAUGCGUGACAUAGCUCAUUCCACCCGGGGAAGAAUUUUGUCCGGCCGACGUUCAACCUUCUCCGGAUAUCUCACAUCUGGAAUUCUGUCCGGCCGACGUUCAACCUUCUCCGGAUAUCUCACAUCUGGAAUUUUGUCCGACCGACGUUCCACCUUCUCGGAUAUCUCACAUCCGGAAUUCUGUCCGGCCGACGUUCCACCUUCUUCGGAUAUCUCACAUCCAGAAUUUUAUCAGGCCGACGUUCCACCUUCUUCGGAUAUCUCACAUCCGGAAUUCUGUCCGACCGACGUUCCACCUUCUCCGGAUAUCUCAUAUCCGGCGCCCGACGCCGAAUGGGAGAGGAAGGCGAUUCAACUUCCUCGGACAGACAGGUUUGAAUCCUCUAAUAGCGUCUACCCGGAGAGCAUCCGCAAUCGACAAUUCAGAUUCCCCGAACAGCUUGGAUCGUCAGACACUCGCGAUUCACCGGAUCCAUUUCCGCCCACAAUCUUCUGCUCCUCUUAACUUUAAUAGGCAUGAAUGUUUUUUUUUCAUAAUUCCGAAAUAAUGGAAUAUUUGAUAUUAAUUUAUGUAAAAUAAAUGGGUUUUGGUGGGAACCUGACAUAUGUGACUUUAUGAUUGAUUGAUUGAUUGUUUGCUUUGAUUAUCAUACAUGAUUGAUUUACCCUACUCUCUAACAUACAUGCGAUUAUUCCUAAAUUGCGCACUAACCCUCUCUAUUGAUAGCACAUGGUGGCUCGUUGCCUAGGUAUGUACCCAUUUUCCCUCUAAUCGCUGUAUAUGCAUGUCCCGAUUCUCACAUGUGCAUGAUCACUCUGAGUAUUCAUUGAUUCCCUCAUCAAUUGUCAUGAUUGCUUCAUUUUAUUAGUAGAGACCCGACUUUAAGGACUUAUAAGGAUGCUACGGUCCUUACUGUACCUUCCUGAUAAGUAACCUAACCCCCGAACCCGAUCCAGUUUUUCGCAGACCACCUUUUCCAAAAUAAGGAGUCACACUUAGGGUUUUCUUUCUUAUUUUGUUUACCCUUUAAAAAUAAAACAAAAAUAAGUGGCGACUCCAAGUCGUUUUUUUUUAAUCAAUAUAAAUCAAUUUUUCAAAUAAAAAUUGACUCGCCAUUGAGUGGAAAACGCAUGAGCCGAAAUGCGGGGUCCACAAUCACCUUAGUGUAAAUACACUUGAUCAUCGUUAGUUUCAAAUUUUGUUAAUUAGUGUCUAUAAAUUUAUAUCGUUUGUCAAUUUUAUUUUUUUUAAAGAUUUUAAUUACAGGACAAGAUUUUUUUGCUGCAAAUAAAGGAAAAUUAUAUAUAAAAUACAAACUUCAAAAUGUUCAUAUAUGUCAAGAUGAUUAUUAUUUUAUAACUCAAUUUGUGUUAGUACAAAACAUGACCAAAACUUUAAUCUUAGGAACUCUUUUUAUUACAUUGUUUUACCCAUUUCAAGUAAUUGAUGAAGGUGUCAAAACUACGAUAUUAGGAAACACCAUAUUUUUUCGUUUUAUAUGUACAUUAAUGAAAAUUCAAUAAAUAAAAGUAUACAUUUAAUUCUAAUCAAACAAGCUUAUACAAAUUUUUUAUAAAAAGAAAUUCAAUAUAAGAAAGUAGAAGAACAACUUCUAGAAGAUAAAGUUCAAGAGAGAAUAAAAUAAAUUCAAGAUCUUUUUUAAAAAUAAAUUUAUUAUGAUCUUCCAAAUGCCUUUUGGUCUAGAAAAAAACAUGAUAUAAGUUUAUCUUGUAUUCAAAAUUUUGAUGAGUCUAAAAUUACCACUAAAGCUAAACCUAUUCAAAUGAAUGAAAUACUUUUAGAAUACUGUAAACAAGAAAUUAAUUCAUUAAUAAAUAAUAAAUUAAUCAGACCCUCAAAAUCUCAUUGGAGUUUUGCUGCUUUUUAUAUUCAAAAUACUGCUAAACUAGAAAGAGGUGCACCCAAAUUAGUCAUUAAUUAUAAACCUUUAAAUAAAGUAUUACAAUGGAUAAGAUAUCCCAUUCCUAAUAAGCAAGAUCUACUCAAAAGACUUCAUAGUGUUGUAGUUUAUUCAAAAUUUGAUAUGAAAUCAUGAUUUUGGCAAGUUCAAAUCAAAGAAGAAGAUAGAUACAAAACUGUUUUUAUAGUCCCUUUUGGUCAUUAUGAAUGGAAUGUUAUGCCUUUUGGUCUCAAAAAUGCCUCAUUUGAAUUUUAAGAUAUUAUGAAUGACAGUUUUAACUCUCAUUUUCAAUUCAUUAUUGUAUAGAUUAAUGAUGUUUUAGUAUUUUCUAAUUCAUUAGAAAAACAUUUUGUUCAUUUAAAAAAGUUUUUUAAAGUAAUCAAAUCAAAUGGAAUGACAUGUUCUGCUCCAAAAAAUGAAACUAUUUCAAACAAAGAAUAGAUUUUUAGGACAUGAGAUUUAUCAAGGUAAAACAAAACUAAUUCAAAGGUCAAUAGAAUUUGCUAACAAAUUUUUUGAUGAAAUAAAAAAACAAAAACAAUUGCAAAGAUUUAUAGGAUGUUUAAAUUAUGUUUUUUUUUAUUAUUCCAAAUAUUUGAGAAUCAUUUUUGAAUAUAUAAAAGACUUAGGAAAAAUGCAUCUGCAUGGACUGAGAAUCAUACUAAUUUAGUCAAAGAAAUUAAACAAAAAGUCAAACAUCUACCAUGCAUUAACAUUCCUCAUUCUAAUGCAUUGCUCAUUGUAGAAUCAAAUGCGUCUAAUUUAGGAUUUGGAGACAUAUUAAAGCAAAAAUAUAAUAAAUAAGUGCAUAUAGUUAGAUAUCAUUCAAGGAUCUGGUUGGGCGCUUGAAUAAACUAUUCAACUAUCAAAAAAGAAGUUUUAUCAAUAAUUUUAUGUAUUUCAAAAUUUCAAAGUGAUUUGAUAAAUAAAAAAAUUAUUUUAAAAAUUGAUUGCAAAGUUGCAAAAGAUAUUUUACAAAAAAAAUGUUAAAAAAAUUAGUUUCAAAACAAAUUUUUGCAAGAUGACAAUUUUUUACUUUCAAAUUUUGAUUUUGAAAUUGAAUUUAUCAAAUGAGAGUUGAAUUCCCUUCCUGACUUCCUUACUUGGGAGUUUUUGCAAGGUAAGGAUCCUCCUCUAUCCUAAUGGGUACUCCCGUUAGGCCCCAUCUUUCUUCAUCAUCCAAGAAGACCAAAGCUUCAUAUGCGAUGCUUUCAAAAUUUUCAAAUAUUUGUUCUAUUUUUCCAAUACAAACAUCAAAUUCCUUUCAAGUCCCGAGUCUAGAUUUUCCUCCUCUUCAACCUUCAAAAAGCUUCAUUCAAGCUUCUAAAUCAACCUCCAAAAGUAUUCUUGUUCAGAGUCAAUCUAGCCCUAGCACUAUUUCAACAUUACCUUCUCCUUCUUAUUUUUCGACUAGUCAAUAUGUCAAAAAACCCAAAACCUUGAAACUGCUUUCAUUGAGCCAAACUUCAAUUAUGAAGAAAUCCCUAAUAUUCUUUCUUAUAUAUUUCCUUAAUGAGUCAACUUCAAUUCCAAUGAUCCUUCGAAAACUUGUCAAUUUUAUGAGUUCAUCUUAGUUGACAUUGAUUCAGUUAAAAUUACUCAUAACACUGAUAAAAACAAUCCUCAAAGGAUUACCUUCUCCAAAUGUCAAAUUCUUAGAGUCGUGACCAUUGUUGAUUGGAAUAAAAAAAAAACUCCUCACUUGCAAGGCUAGGAAUGGCAACGGGACGAGUCACCCUAUCCCAUUCCCGUCCCAAAAUAUAUGGUUAUUUCCCAUCCCAUCCCAAACCCGGGGUGGGGCAAGGUAUGCACUUUCAUCCCCGUUUUGAAGUUAUAAUUGAAAUCCCAUCCCCGACCCAUCCUAACCCGGCUAUGUGUAUGCACCUUGUGUUGCCUAAAAAGAGGGCAAAUAAAUAAGUUGCAACCUUAGAGACACUCGAAUUGAGUACUUUGUGUAUGCAUGUAUUUCUUGACUAUUUGGGGUUUAGGACUUGACAGAUAGUAAGUUCCACAUGAGUAACAUUGUAGACCCCCUCAGCUAGGGGAAUGGGCGGGUUUUUAUUUUUAUUCAUUUUUUUUCUUCUUCUUUCCUGCUUUCUUUAUCCACCUGAGGACAGCUGGAAGUGAAAGGAGGGAGAAGGAGCUACCCUUAGGCGGCUGUAGGGAGCAGGGAACAGGGGAGCAGGUGCUAGAUUUCCGGAUCUGGGGAAAAAGGCAAAAAAAAAAAAAAAAAAAGAUCCAUGAGAGGAGGGAUCUGGAGGGAGUUUUAGAGAGCUUGGGCGGGAAAGCAAGCUAUCGGAGCUAGAGAAGAAAGGAAGGAGGAAACCAUUUUUUUGGCUAACGGGAGAAAUCCAGGUAUGAACGCGGCAACCAUCUCGUUUCCCUCUAUUCGUUAUUUUCUUCAGUUUUCUAUUGAUCAUUUCCGGGCAUUAGGUUGACUGUGAAUGGGUAGAGGGUCGUUCGUUCUCUUUUGUUUGGUUUUUUUUUAUUAUUGAGAUCUACUGGGCUCUGUUUUCUUUUGACACUUGUAGUACUGUUUUUCUUGUUUGCAUCAUCCUUACCCAUUUUCCCUCCAAACUCUCCACCCAUUUCAUACCUACCAAUCACCAUGCAUGCAAAACUAGACGUGGAAGCCAAGAUAGUUGGGUUGGGGAUGAAUACUGGUCGUGAAGGCUACGCAAAUGAUGGAGCUCCCAGCAGAAUGCGCCAAUGACAGCCACACGUGGCCCCCGUGACGCCGGCGCUGAUGGCGCCCUCCUCGCGGACGGCGAGUGCAGCGUCUUCCGUGUCGUCACCCGCGCUCACGACAAAGGCCUCCAUGUCGUCGGCGUCGGGGACAGUCCCAACUCCGGCGACUGCAGUGUCCAUGAUGGAGGUUCCUAGAUGGAAGGUGGCACCCAAGCGUGAAGGCAAAUUUUGUUAAAGAUUAAAAGCUUGGGCUUCAUGCUAGUGGACAUGGGCUAGAGCUGAAGCCCAAGUCCAAGCUUCUGUCCACCCACUUUACUUUGGCCCAUGCCUAUUUCAAGCCCACCCACUUUAAGUUAACCCAUUUGCCUUUUAUAUAUAUAUAAUUUACAUUUCUAAAAAGCACUAAUUCCUCAAUAAAUUUUCUAAAUUCCAACUUCCCAAUCCUACUCACAAUGUAUACAAUCUUCAAAUAAUCUCAAAACUCCAAUUUCCGAAACUUUAAUUCUCACCUUGAUUUAUUUAAUUAUCAUCAUUUUAAUUUAUUUACUUAUUUGUUUAUAUAAAAAGAAAAAAAAAACUCGACUUUUAAAUAACUUCUCAAAAUUCCGAUUUUAAUUUCUAAUUCCUGAAAAUUCCAAAAUUCACAUUAAUCUAUUUAGUUAUAAUUUUAUUUAUUUACUUUAAAAUUCCAUUUUAAAUAAUUCAUUAAAAUUUUUGACUUCCGAUUUAAUUUCUAAUUCCAAAAUUCCAGUACUCACAUGAAUCUAUUUAAUUAUUAUUAUUUUAGUAUUUUAUUUUGAAAUCCCAUUUUAAACAAUUCUUCGGAAUUCCAAUUCUUGAACUUAAUUUCCGAUUUCCAAAAUUCUAAUUUCUUUCAAAUUUAAUAUCCGAAAUUCCAAUUCUUAAAUUUAGUUCUCAAGACUCCAAUCUUCAAAUAAUUUUCGAGACUCCAAUUUCCAAAUAAAUCUCAAAAACCCAGUUUUUCUCUCGAACAGUUUUAAUUUCACUCCGAUAUUUAAAUAAUGUUUUAUUUCUUUUGAUUUUUACACAAGCAAGAGUGAUGAAUCUUCAUGAUUCCGAAAUAAUGGGAUUCGUGAGAUUAAUUUAGGUAGGAUCAAUUGGGUUUUGGUGGGACCCAACAUAUGUGAUUUUCUCAUUGAUUGCUUGAUUGCCAUACUUGAUUAGCUUGCCUCACUCUAUGAUAUGCAUGCGAUUAUUUUGUAUUUGUGCACUAACCUUGUCUCUUAUGAUAGCGCUCAGCUUGCGACUAAGGUACGUCCCGUACCCCGAUUGUGUUUAUUGAUCAUCAUGCAUGUCUCGCUUUCACACAUUUGAUCACUGUUUGGUAUCCAUGCUUAAUUAAUCAAUUGUUAUGCCACAUCAGCUUCACUUUAUUAGUAGAAACCCGACUUUAGGGACUUAGAGGGGUGCUACGGUUCGUACCGUACCUUCCCGAUAAGUAACUUGACCCCCGAGCCCAAUCCGAUUUUUCACAGACCGCCUUUUCUAAAAUAAGGAGUCACACUUAGGGUUUUCUUUCUUAUUUUGUUUACCCCUUUAAAAAUAAAACAAAAAUACGUGGCGACUCCAAGUCAUUUUCUUAAUCAAUAAAAAUCAUUUUUCAAAUUAAAAUCGAGUUUGCCAUCGAGUGGAAACCGCAUUGAGCCGAAAUACGGGGUCCACAAACAUGUUAAAAUGAGAAAAAGAAAUUACAAAAAGACCACACUUUGCCACCAAAUUACAAAUCUAUUGUACGUUUGGACCCUCCAAAUUUUAUGAUUAAGCUACAAUUACAAUGAUCCCAAUAAGAAGAACAAUACCAAAUAUCACCAACAAAUCUCUCAUCUUUUGCCCAAAAACUAACAAAGAAACACCCCAAACCAAACAAAUCAACAUUUGAAAAAAAAUACUUAAAACGAUUCCUAUAGAGAAAAUGGCAGUAGCGUAAACUGAUGAAACUGCUAGUAAUUGUGAAUUUGAGAUAAACAAUGAUGAAUCAAGAGGAGCUGGAGGAAAUGAGAUUAUUGAAUGGAUUUUCAGAUGGAUUAUCUUAUGGAUUUCUGCAUUGAGUGGGAGGAACAAUAACCCUAACGAUAGAAAGGAAUAAGAACCCUAAAACGAGAGAGGAAUACUAGAAAGGAUCAAAUGAAGCAAAUAUUUAUAAGUGGGGGGUAAACUUGUAAUUUGAUAUUCAGGGUAGGGCGGGGCAUAUUAUUACUAAACCCAAUCCUGCUCUGAACCCGAUUCUGGUUUAAAAAAAAAAACUGAACUCGUCUCAUCCCCGAUUUCUAUGCUCCUAUACCCGUUCUAAUAGGGGCAGGGCAGGGCGGGUGACCCGAAAAACCCACGAAAUUGUCAUUCCUAUGCAAGGCGUUUAGUGAAUCUUUCCAUCCCAUGAGCCACAACUACAUAGACUAUAUGAAUGUUUGGUACAAUAUGUUUUAUUUACAAAGUUACAAGCAUUUAUGGCUUAUUCAAUUUUCAAGAAAAUGUAAUACCAAAUUCCCUACUUGGUUUAAAAAAUUGUGGACUUUCUUUGGUCUACUAGACUACAUAUUUCCUCUUGAAAUUCAAGAAAAAUUCAACUUCUACAAGAGCAAGACUUCAUCUUAGUCUAUCACUCAAUCGAGACUCUUUAUGUUCUAUUUUAGAUUAAGAAUUCCCUAGAUUCUUAUAUGAAAUAUUAUUAAGAAGCAAAAGCAACCUCCUCCUUUUUCAUUAUCUAUCUCCAUAGAAUUUAGCAUCAAAUGGUGGAACAAAUUCGAUCCUGAGUUCGUACGUAAACAAAAAAUUUUGCAAAUAAUUUCAAGGCUAAGAUCAUCAAAUACAAAAGAUUUAGCAAGCUCUUCUCAAGGACUGACUCAAAGCAAAAUUCAUAACUUUGAAAAGCAAAUGCCAAGCUUCAUUAGCAGCUAUUAUAUAUUUAGAACAAUAUCGUCAAGGACUUAUUCAAACUCUCAAACAGUUUGGUGAUAAUCAAGAAAAUGAAGAAACUGAAGACAUAGCCUUAUCAGAUGAUUCAUAUGUAGACCCCGAGUUCAUCCUGUAUGGUGGACAUAUGGAUUAAUUUAGAUAAAAGAUUUGAAGAAUCUUUUGUACAAUUGUAUAUUUGUAAAUUUGUAUCAUUGUAAAAAAAAAUGUGUGUAAAAGAAAGAAAGAAGAAUACAUGAAAAACACAUCAAGAAAAGAAAAAAAAAAACUAUUCAAAAUGGUAGUGAAUAGUGUCAAAUAGUAUUUUAAUAGUAAAAGUUGUAUAUUAAAAUGACAACUUUGAUUUCAAAACGAAAACGUGCAAAAUAUGUGGCCUUUUUACCUUGAGUAGCCCUGUAAAAACUUAAUGCUUUCAUCUACAGAUGGAGAAAAGGAUGUCAGUUGUCUUCUGCAAUUUUUUAAGCACGUGGAUUUCAUCAAGACUCAAGUUCAAUAAUUUUCCUAUAAAUAGAGAUGCAACCUUCAUCACAAGACAAAGGCGCAAGAGCGAGCAACGAGUGUUCUAAAAAAUCAUCUUCUUAACUUUUGUAAUUUCUCAUUUCAAAAAUAUUUUCCUUUGUAUUCAUCUAUGUUGUCAUCAACCUUGUACUCAAGUUCAACUCCUCUAUAAUCAAGAUAUAUUUUCAAUACAAAAGUUAUUUUCAGAUUCAAAACUUUGUGUUUUUAUGUUCAGUUUUCUACCAAUAAAUUAGACAAAUUAGAUAGUAAUUAUUUAUGUUUUUAUGCUUGGAUUCCUUAGACAAAAUUAAUCUUUUGUGUGCAUGAACUGUUGUAGAUGCUUUCAUCCAAAUUUAAGUGGAUUUUUAUGAGUGUUUAAUUAAAUAAAAAAUAAAAAUAUAUUUUUUUAAUGUAGAAAUUGAUUGAAUUUUAAAAUAAUGAUCAAAAUAACUCUUGUAGUCCACGUGGUUACUCACGCGGUGGUGGUGGAAAAUUUCUAAUUUUUUUAUGUAAUAUAACCAUAAUUAUCAUCAUGGGACAAUUUCUUUUAGAAGGAUCAAGUUUAGCUUAUGUUUGUUUUUUUUUAUUAAAGAGAGAAAAUUAAAAUAUUUAGUUUUUUAUUUAAUUAAAAAUAAUUUAUUAAUAUCAAUCAAUAUAAUUAAAGUGAACUUAUUAUCGAUAAGUUUGAUUUAAUUAUAUUAGUUGAUGUCAACAAGUUACUUUUAGCUUAUAGAAAAAAGUAAAUAUUUUUUUUUAUUCAGUAAAAAAAAAAAACAUCACCUUUGUGUAAAUACACAUCAUCGAGUUAGUUUCAAAUUUCGUUAAUUAGUGUCCCUAUAAAUUUAUAUUGUUUAUCAAAUUUAUUUUUUAAAGAGAUUUUAAGUAAAAACAUCCUAUAUAAAAAAGUGUUUAACAAUUCCCUAACACCUUAAAUUUAUUUUAUUUUUAAAUAAAAUUUAUAUAUAAAAUAUAUUUAUAGAAGUGCUAAUUCAUAAAAUUUGAAACUUAUAGUAAAUCAGUGUAUUUAACUAAACCUCAAGGUUUUUGAAUAAAAUUAACCGUUAUUAUCAAUAUUAGUUAUAGUUAAACCCUGAAACCAAGGCUUCUCACCAAACAAAGGUAUAUUAUCAUAUUAAACUAUCUAGUUUUAUAAAAACUUAAAUUUCUAAAAUUUAGGUUUAAUAUAGAUACAAUGUUUUUUUAAUAGUUUUAAUAUAUAAAAUAAAAUAAUAAAUAUUAACAUUGGUUUAAAAAACUGUUAUUACCGAUUAAUGGUCUCCAACGGGCGGGCCGGGCCGGGCUUAUGGGCCCGUUGACUAGUCAACGGGCCAGGCCGGGCCAUGCUAAAAUGCUAGGCCCGCGGCCCGGCCUAUGAGCCUACGGGCUGGCGGGCCUAAGGGCAGGGCGGCGGGCUUUUUGUAGUUUUUUUUUAAAAAGGGGCGGGCCUAAGCGCGGGCCUAAAAUUAGGCCCGUGGCCCGGCCCGCCCAGAAACGGGCUCGGGCCCGAUGGGCUUGGGUCGGGCUUUAGCCCGUCGGGCCGGGCCUAAAGUGGGCCGCGGGCCGCGGGCUUUUUGGAGACCCUUAUUACCGAUGUUUAUAUUAAAUAUCACAAAAACAACCAUUAUAAGUAUUAUUUUAAGAAUAAUUUUGAAAUUGAUUUAAACCCAUCAUUUUGAUUUUAGAACAAAUUUAAAAUUGGUAUAAAAUCAUCAAUUGAGAAAAUUUAUAUUUAAAAAUAUAUAUCUAUAUAUAUAUAUAUAUAUAUAUAUAUAUAUAAUUUUCAAAUUUUAUAUUUUUCUCUUGUUAUAUAGUUUAUUUGAACUUAGGUAUGAUUUCUCAAAUUGGGAACAAAGAUUCAAAGCGUCCCUUCAUUGGAUAAAAAAAAAAAUUAUAUAAAUAUAUAUUAAUUUGAUUUUUCUUUCCUUUCAUCUCCCUAUUUAUUUAUUUAUUUAUAUCAAAAGGUAAUUUAUUUAUUUUUAAUAUUGGUAAUUUAUAUGUUAUUAUAAAUAAUAUUCAUUUUAUAAAAUAUGAUCAAAUAUGCUUAGUUUAAGUUUAAGCAUUGAAAUAUAAUUGAACAAAUCUAUCUUGUUUGAAUAUACUAAGAAUUGUAUGGAUCAAAUUCUUAACAAGAGAGAAUAAAUUAGUUCAAAUCAAUAUAGUUUGAUUCGAUUAGAAAAUUAAUUAUUAUUUUUUAUUAAUUUAAGAUAAAACACGAAAGUUUUAAAAUUGGACAUACUAUGGCCCUCUCAAGAUCAUUUUACUAGGCCCAAAAGAACGACAGUUGGGCUUCAAAAUUAAAUUAAGACACAACUAAAUUCAUAUUCCUACAUUAACAUCAACCUGGCGAAGCUCAAGGCAGCCCCCGGCCACCACCUCCAACCCAAGCUCCACACAAUCUGAAACCAACCCUAAUGUCUUCUCCUUCUUCCGCUUCUUCUUCCUCUUCUUCUUCUUCUUCUUCUUCUUCUUCUGACCUCAUUCCUAAUCUCCCAGACGACGUCGCUUUGCAAUGCAUAGCCAGAGUCCCCAGGUCUCGCCACCCCCACCUCUUACUUGUGUGUAAAUCGUGGCGCUCCAUUCUCAACUCCCCAGACUUUUUUUCCACACGAUCACUCCUCAACUGUAUGCAACACUCUCUCUAUCUCAUCGUCAGGGUCAACUGCACUCUCAAAUGGUUUGUGCUCAAUCAAAACCCCAGAAUUCUCGCUUCUCUUCCUCCAAAUCCGUCUCCGGCAAUUGGAUCCGCCUUUGCCGCAAUUGGGUCUAAGAUUUUCGUAUUGGGUGGGUCAGUCAACGAUGUGGCUUCACCGACGGUUCAGGUUUUUGAUUGCCGGUUCGGUACGUGGGAGUUGGGGCCCAGAAUGCGGGUGGGGAGGGAGUUCGCGGCCGCUGGAGUUGUGGGUCGGAAGAUUUAUGUGAUGGGUGGGUGCUUGGUUGACACGUGGGCGAAGUCUGCGAACUGGGCGGAGGUUUUCGAUCCGGCGGCUGGACGGUGGGCGGGGGUGGAGAGUCCAGUGGAGGUGAGGGAGAAGUGGAUGCACGCGAGCGCGGUGGUGGAGGAGAAGAUCUACGCGAUGGCCGACCGCGGCGGGGUUGUGUUCGAGCCGGGGACGGCGGAGUGGGGCGGCGUGUCGACGGAGCUCGAUUUGGGGUGGAGAGGGAGGGCUUGUGUGGUGGAUGGGGUGCUGUAUUGCUACGAUUAUUUGGGCAAAAUCAGGGGUUUUGAUGUGAAGGAGGGGCUGUGGAAGGAGCUGAAGGGGUUGGAGAAGGGUCUGCCGAAGUUUCUGUGUGGAGCAACAAUGGCGAAUGUGGGAGGGAAUCUAGUUGUGUUGUGGGAAGGGAAAGGAAAUGGGAAAGAGAUGGAAAUUUCAUGUGCCGAAAUCGCUAUUCAGAAGUGCAGUGAUGGAGGCUUGCGCGGAUCAAUUGUGUGGUCGGAUGUGAUUCUUUCUGUUCCCAUUGGGUCCGCCAUUGUUCACUGCUUGGCAGUUGCUGUGUGACCAUUGCUAAGCUCCAAGGUAUAUAUGCCUUUGCUUCAGUCGAGAUUUGCAUUUUAUGAUUAUGAAUUAUUCGUUAAUUAGCAUAAUGAUCAUAUACUUAUUCACUGCUUGGGAAUGUUGAAUGAGCUUAGAACGAAUUUUAGAAUUUGGGUAUUUGAAAUUAUGGAGUAUGCCAUCUAGCUAUACAUUGGUAGAAGUUGACAUUUGAAUUGUCUAAGGGUUUUUUUGUUGAGGUUUAAGCUUUAUGCGAGCGGUAAUAGAGAUUGCUGAAGUGUAGAUAUCAUCGGUUGUGUUGUUUUCAUUUUUUCCGAUAUUAACAUUGUAUGCUUGCUAAUAUGUAAUUAUUGAUAAGCUACUCUGAUUGUGUGCUCACUCACGGAAAUGAUGUGACUGUUUUGUGUAUAGAACAAUCUUGAAUCAUAGCAUGCAUGCCUCUAAUUAUACGGGUGAAAUUAUUGCCUAAAAUUUGCAUUUCUGCUCUAAAAAUGCUUGGAUGCUCCUCUUGGAUUUGAACCAUGCUGCCAUUUGCUUUUUUUAUGGUAUUUUUCUGAAUUCCUACUAGUGGAAGAGCUAUGUCGGGAAUUUCACCUUUCAACUUCCUUCUUUCUCUCUUCAGAAUUAUCUUAUGAAAGGUCAACUGCUUCUGGAUUUUCUAAUUUUUAAAGGGUGUUUUCUUCUUUGCCUGCAAAGACAUCAACAAAUAAUUGCUGGCCUUAUGUAAAGAUAAAGGAACAUAUCAAAGCCAACUCCAUAAUGUCUUAACCCUUCUGCUUAAAUUUCAUUUUCAUUCAAAUUUGGCUAUGCUUUAAACUAUCUGUAACAUCUUCAGUGCUUUAAAAACCAUUGGCAUUGAUGUGGAUUUAUAAUCCAAUCUUCACAUUAAGAAAAGGCAUAUCUCCAUUACUAACAAAAUAUAAUUUGGAGUCAGGACAACCAAUGUCUCGCUAUAGAGCAGAUUAUAUUAACGAUAAUGCAAGUCCACUGUUCUUAAGAAAUUGUAAGUCAUUCCAGUUGUGGCUCUAGUAUAUUAUUGUUGUUUUGAGUUGCUAGUUGUAUAAUAAUGUCAUUGCUCUCUCUUCAUCUCUCUCUAACAACAACUAAAUGAAUAAAUACUAAAUUAGUAGAAGCAUGAAAAAAUUGUUUUUAUGAUUUGUUUGAGGCUUCUAUAUCCAUCUAAGAAAGCUCUAACUAUAUAGCCGUGGUAGCGUUUAUUCCUAGGAUUCUGCUUGUAUGAUUUAGUCCUCCAUGCACCAUGCCACCUGGAUAGUUUUUUCAUAUGUUCAUUUACCAUUUUGUUUCUUCCGUUUUUGGGGAUUCCACUAAUAGAACAGACAUGAGGGGAUUGAAAGUAUCUAAGUACCAUCAGCAUCUUAAAGUAAGUGAGCCAUUGGCUCUACUGCAUUCUUUAGUUCUAGAAAAUAUUGGUUGGGGGCCUGGGGUUCAUGCUUAAGACUUUUGGGAUUGUGCAUUUAAUGAUAGAUGAUCAUGAAUCAGGGUAAUGCCAUUCUGAUAUCUAAAUGUACAUCAUACACUCCCUACAAUUUCUAAAGCUUUAUAAGUUAUAACCCUUAACAUAUUUGCUCUGUUGCUACUUUCAGGUUUGUACAUUAUAUUGUUCUGUAAAUAGCCACAAAAUCUUGGUCUCUGAACAUGGAAAGAAAAUACAAAUUCAAUUUCUUUCUCCUUCCUCACCAGUCAGGAAUGUGGGAAACCAAUUCUAUCUGGUGUUGAAUUAAUUAUGCUCCUGAGCAGGCUACUGCCAUCAGUCACACAAUGGUCCAGAAGAGCUUCCUUGUUUGUGGUUUGGGAAAUUUCCUGACACCAGACCAGUUGCAGGAGUUACUCAAAAGAGGUAAGCUGGAGUUUAACUCCCUCACCUUUUCUUGCCAAUCCGGUUGCAUAUAAGUUCAAGUUCAUUAAGUUUUUAUUAGUUGUUGUAUUUAAGGAAUUUCUUCACAAUAAUAUUUAGAAUCUCUGUUCAUUUACAUUAGCUUGAUUUAUUAAUGUUUUUUAAUGCUUUUGAUUUACCCAAUUGGUAAGCAACAUUUUACAUUGAACCAGAAAAUAAAAAAAAAUAAAAAAAUCAGUAGUAUUGUAGACUCAAAAAUGAAGGAACAAAAUAAAUGCUAACAAGGAUAAAAUUGCAUGGUCAGGCUAGAGAGAAAUCACCAUCAAAAUAUUGUGCCUAAAGCUGUAGACAUCAUAGGGUACUGCAUAUAUGUUGGUAUCCUGCAUUGAAAUUCUAGGAUGAGUGUUGAACACCAUAUUCCCCCAUCUGUUGCAUUGAAGUUGUAGGAUCAGUAUUAAACGCCACAUUUGCGGACACCCCCAUCUGCUGCAUUGAAGUUCUCUAGGAUGAAUGUUGAACACCAUAUUCUCAUACACCUCCAUCUGUCAAAGUGACUGUUUCCAUAAGGUCCAUCUCUUAUGGUUUUAUCCAUUGUACACAACCUACAGCUAUGGAUGGACCCUAUAGAAACAGCUCAUUUUGGCAACACAGGCAAAGAGGCCCAGGCAUUAGGUGGCAAAUUUUUCUGAGUUAAUCACCAAAAGAAAAUCUGUAUUUCUCUCUUGGUAUUGAAAUUGACAUGUUGGUUAGCAAGACAGGAGACUGUAUAUUAUCAAGGAGAGUUUUGGAUUUUUUGAGAGCAGUAUUCUUGAGGAUAUUCAGAUGGGUGUCUUAUUUAGCUGUAAGAUCAUUAUAAGCAUUGUCAACUUAGGUUUGAAAAGAGUAGCACUAUUGGAUCCUUUAAAAGCGUUGCAUUCAUACAAAGGCUUAUGUAGUGUCUGUUCUUGUAUUGAUUGAAUUCCUGUACUUUUGAAUACUGAUGCUAUUUUCCUAGGCUUUAUAAAACACAUUAUUUCUCAAGGUCUUGACAAACUUCAAUUAAAAUCUCAGGUGCUUUACUCUCUGUCGUUUUCAACUACUUUAGAAACAGAGAAAAGUGUUCUAAUCAAAGCUAAGCAUCUUAAAUUUUGUUGUUAAAGAAAACUAUAGGCUUUAUGGCUUGCUAAAGGAGCAGAGCUGAGUCACUCAUAAGUAUAAAUAAACUAGUUUUUGCGGUCUACAAGUUUGAUGUGUAUUGUAGGUAUGGUCAAACUUGGAAGUUUGUUCUUCAAUGUAAGGCAAACCAUGUUUCAAUCAAUCAAUUAUUUGGCUGAAACCCCAUCCACCCCAUCCACCUUCAGAACUCUGAUAGGCCUAUUCAUUGAGAUAAUGAAUCUCUACCCAGUUUCCAUACAGAUAACAAUCAAGUGAAGAUCAUUUUAAUUCCAUGCCAGUGUUUGACCAGUGCCAUUCAAGAGUUCUUACAGUUGCGAGGUCAACGAAUUUUACAUCUAGCCUAGAAUCAUCAUCCUUAAUAACACAUCCAGUCCAGUCUACCAUCUCUUACAGGUGAGAGGUAGCUUCUGCUACCAUGGCUUCUUCAGCACUUCCAUUGGCACUACUAACCUUGAGGGUUGAAGGAGCCAUGGAUGAAGUGCCCUGGGAGGGGGAACCCCCCAACUGCAUCAACACUCACGGCUAUUUACUAAGUGUGUCAUCUGGCAAUCCUCCACAUAAACUGAAAAUUUUUGUUCUUCACUGUUCUAAUGUUUUUCCAAGGAAACAGAAAUGAGCAAGCAGGGUUCAAACCUGUCAGCAAAAUGAAUAAUCGAGCACUUCUGACAAAAGGUUAUAUCAAUAUAUAUUGGUAGUAUUACUAAAGUCAAACAAAAUAUACAGAGAAUCCUUUUUUCCUUGGAAAAAAAGACAUCAACUUGUAUUUUUAAAACGCUAGUUCCACGUAAAAAAAAAAAUUAAGAUAAAAAGUGAAUUCAUAUUUUCUUUGUAUUUUUAAAAGGUAAAUGCAUUUUUAAAAUAAAACAAGUGACGAAAUAUUUAAUUUUUAAAAAUUAUAUAUAUAUAUAUAUAUAUAUAUAUAUAUAUAUAUAAAGAAAAUUCAAGGUGUCUUGGGUUAGGUUAACGGGGACCACAUGGGCUUGUACGGCCUUUAGGUCUCCUACCCUGGCGCACCCCUUUAUGGCAACCAUCGACGAGCCCUGGUCUGGUAUAGGCUGCUGAUUGAUGGAAUUCAAGCUGUCUUGGGUUAGGUUAACUGGGACCACGUGGGCUUGAACGGCCUAUAGGUCUCGUACCCUGGCGCACCCCUUUAUGGCAACCAUUGAUGAGCCCUGGUCUGGUAUGGGUAUAGGCUUCAUAUGGUGAUUGAUGGAUUUUGCACUUUUUGGGUUUCUUUCUUUCCCUUUUUUUUUUUUUGUAAGGGAAAUCUGGGUAGUGUCAGUUGGAAAAAAGGGCAAGUCUUAAAAAUGUUUAACUUCUAAUAUUUUUAACCUUUUUUAAUGGUAAUAUACUAAUAUGGAUAUUUUAUUUUAUUUUACUUUUAAGGUUUUUAGUUCAUUCAAUUAAUUGUAAUGUACGUUUGUGAUUAUUCAAGAAAUAGAUAUUAUAAAUUUAGGGCUUACAGUUUUGAUUUUCAAUACUUGAAGUGAAAUUGUAAAAGACUUAACCCUGGAGAUUAAUUUCGACAAUAUUUUUAAUGCAAUUUUACAUCUCUAUAUCCCUUUCCCAACAACGGGACCAAGAAAUGAACGAGAGGGAUGAGGGUUAUCCUGCUUUUGGCAUGCGCGGAAGCUCGAAUGAUGGGCAAUUAGCUUUGUAGUAGGCCACAGGCCCUUAAUGAUUCCAUCAUUAUGCUUGGGCUCUCAACCACGCAUAUGAUUCCAUCAGACGCUCUUUCAUGACCCUGAUGAAUUUGAUUUAACAAUAUUUAUAUCUAAAAUUGCUUUUAAUAAAAGCGUUUUUUUUCUUUUCUUUUUCUUUUUUUAAGUAUUUUGAGAAGAAUUACUCAUCAUGUAAUCAUUCAAUAAACACUAAAAAAAUUAACAUUUUAAAUAGUGUUUUCAUAUUUUUAAAAGUAUUUUUUAAAUUUUGAUAGAUAUUUAAUUUUUUUUAAAAACAUUUUUUAAGUUAAAAAUAUUUUUUAAAAUUAUUAUCAAACAUAUUUAUUUGAUAAUAUUUUUAUUUAAAAUAUUUUGAAUUGAAUAUUUUUUGUUGAAAGUGUUUUUAAGAAAAUUAUCUAUUAAAUAUUUUUCCAAAAAACACUAUGAAUAAUUUUAGCAUCCCUCUCAAUCGAUGGAAUUGGAUAUUGAACAAAUUAGCUUCAUGUUUAGGUUGAAUUCACAUCCACUACCAACCCCAGAACCCUAGCCGACUUGCUUGAGAUGCUUAACUUGUCCAUAAAAUAUUAUAAUGAAAUAAGAGGGAAAUAUUAUAAACAACUUUCCUUCACACCUACACCCUCCACAUCUUUUAACAUCAUACCCAUGACAUUAUCACAUUUCACGUUUAUUACAUGCACUUUUGAGUAGUUACUGCACUCUAUUUGACAGGAUGAAUAAAGAGAUGAGCAAAGAAAGCAACACGUGCAAUAUCCCUUUUAAAAAAUAGAAACACCACAUGCGCCCUUCUCUUCCACCAAAACUAAAAACACCAAGGGAGGAUCUUUGGCCCCCAGAUUAAAUACAUCAUAAAGCACUAAAAUGUGUCUGUAAAAGAGAACAAGGAGAGGUAGGUUACAAUGUUGCAAUGUCCAUGCCAUUUUCCCCCUUUAGAAAGGCCUCAAUUUGUAGAAGUGCCUGAAAUGGAUUGUAAAACUCGACUUUUAGAAAUGCUUCCAAGAGCUUGUAUUAUGUGUGUGCGUGUGGAUAGAGUGGAAAGAGAGAGAGAGAGAAACCUCGAUGGCAAUAACAGUUGGUGUGAGAUUGGUUACGUCUCUGUGACCCAAUUUGGCUGCGAUCUCUGCGUAUAGCGGAAACAAAUUUACAUUCUUCAGUAUUUACAAAGUAAAUGCUCCAAAAAAAAAAAAAAAACGGUGGUUGUGUGUGGAAUUCAGAUGGAGGAGUGGUUUGGGAAUUGAAUAUGACAAGCAUCAUGUGCCAUGGAUUGUCAUCAAGAGAUUCUGAAAAUCCCAAUCUUAAAACCUACCAGGAAGUAUUGGAGAAAGGCAAACUAUUAAAACUUUGGAAAGUGUUUCCAAAAACAAUUUGAAGAACAAUUUUUGAAAACUCUUCUUUAAUGUUUUAUAGAAUAAUAGUCUAUUUGGAGAUUUGAAAUGUUCUUUACACAUUUUCUAUCUUUUUCAAUAUAUUUAAAAAAUAUUUUUUAUAUUUUUAAUCAUUCUCCAUAUUUAUAUAUUUAUUUUUUAAAACAAUCUUUAAAAAGUAAAUGAAAACAAUUAAAAUAUGUUAUCUAAAAACACUUUAUUUUCUGUUUUUAAAAACAAAAAAUUGUUUUCUAUUAUUUGAUAUAAAAAACAGGGCUUAAGCUUCUAGGCUCCAAGAUCUCUAAGAUGGAAUUGUUCAAAAGUUGAGUCCUACGAAAACAAGAAGAUGAAGGGUUCAGGCAAACAUACCUUCCAGGGAAACCCUAGCAUUGGCGUUGGCAUAUGCAUCACCCCUUUCCUUCCAAAGGUUGGAUAGACGCGUGAGAGUCUGCAGUGGAGUUGACAGAAGUAGUGGAAAUAGAUCCAGACUUAAUUGAUUACACAUGAAAUCUAAUCCAAAAGAGCCAUCCUGGUGGAUGCACCCAGUGUAGCAGUAAAGCACUAAAGCUACUUACCCUAUUGUAAGCAUCACCAGAAUCAUGAUGCAAAAGGGGUCGAGAAUUAGUUCCUACAGCUGAGAUUCUCCGCGCCAGGGCUUCCAAAGGUACAUCUAACCAGACACUAAUUCCUUUUGCCAUGUAUUUCCUGAUUCACCAGAAGCAGUGUUAGUUUGCACGACUAACAUGUGCACUGCAAAUCCAACCAUACAAACAGAAAAUACAAGAGAUUUGCUACCAUUAUUUCCAUUGUCAUACCAGUUGAUAGGCCGAAUAACAGCACCUCCACCAGUGGAAACAACCAUAUGGUGCGUUAAAGACAGUUUCUGCAAUGUCUCACUCUGAAAAGCAAAAGUGUAAUCAUUAACUUUUGAUUUCAAUAAUGGAAGGAGGAAUUGCCAGCAGAUAUAUAAAGUUGGAUGGUAAAUAUAAAUGAUGGUGGAACUAAUGCUAUUUGCUUUUAGUUAUUAAUAAUUGUAGAAGACCAACAGAUACAAAUACAACAACUCUAAAAGAAGUUCAAAUUUUGGUUGCUUAUUUAUUUGACUUUAAAUACAUGUUGAGAAAUACAAUUAAUUAAUCAUACAAUAAAACGAGAGCCUAAUCAUUUUAAAUAUUCUGUGAAACGGUGUGAGGGGUGCAGAAGAGGGUGAGAGAGAAGAAGAGACAGAGAGACAGGUACCUCUUUAUUUCUGAAGAAGCCCUCGCCAUAGAGGUUAAAUAUUUCAGCUACAGAAGUUCCCUUGACAGCCAGCUCCACCAAUGUGUCACUGAGGCACCCCAAACACAGUGCAAUCUCAAUAUUAUUUGUAAACUGCCAGUCAAGUGGACUCUUUGCACAGUAACUGGCAUUUCAUGCAGGAAGUGGUACCUCUAGAAGGUCCCAACUCCAACCCAAGGAUCUAAUGCCCCAGAAGUAGACAAAAUGCCCUGAGAUGGGGAACCCCCAACCAUACCAACAUUCACUGCUAUUUACUAAGUGUGUCAUCUAACAAUACUCUACAUGAAGUGAAAAUUUUGUUCGUCACUACUUAAAUGUUUUUGCAAGAGAACAGAAAUGAGCAAGCAUGGUUCAAACCUGUCGCAAAAUGAAUAACCAAGCACUUCUGACAAAAUCUUGCCAAUAGUUGUUUUUCCAGAACCCAUCAUCCCUGCAUUUCAAGUACAAUCUAGUCAACUACAAGAGCAACUUAAACAUGACUAACUACGAAAUCUAAAGGGCGUAGAUACAGGAACUGACCAACAAGAUAUACACAGCGUCCAUCUAUAUACGGCAGAAUCUCUUGUGACUUAUUCUGCAAUUUUAUUAACUUCAAAUCAGAUGAAUGCACAAAACCAUCUUAGAGAACCCAAUAACACUAAGCCCAAUAUUUCAUUUUUUAAGGCCAUUCUUCAUAAAACCAUUUAUCACAUACAAUGCCAAAAUACUAGUGAACAAGAAAGGGUGAAGCUCAAUAUAAAAGAUCAAACUGGGCAUCAUUCCAUACCUUCAAAAUCAAAGCCUCGUCUAAAGAAGGAGGAAAACUUCCAGAUUCCAAUAUUGGAGCUACAAAAAUAAUAUUAGAAAUAAACUGUCAACAAUCAAAAUGAGGAAGGGUGUUACAGAAAACCAUGAGAAUGCAGACCUUAUUCCUCAUUUCAAGAAACUUUUUCUUUGCUCUAACAUUGAAAUUAGAUUUUUAUCUCAAGCAUAGCAGAUGAAAGCAUUUCUUAAUAGGAAGACAUGACACAAAAGAAAAUACUACAUAACUUCGAAAUAAUAAUGCACUUAAAUAUGCCCAAUAGUAGUUCGUGCAAGUCCUUCACAAACAAAAUCCAAGAAAAAUAAAAGUAAAAAACAAUAAAAAAAUAAAAAUGUUGAUCAUACAAAUAUUUCUUGGCAACAUUAUGGCUGAAACAUCUCUAGUCCAAAAUGUCUAGAGCACAAGUACCACUAUUUUCACAUAAGCCAUCUGCCUCCCAUCAGUAAGAUUGCUCCAUAUGUAAGGGAUUCUAUACCAAAUUUCUAAUCAUCCAUACAUCCAUAUUUGUUAGCAGUAACUCUUUUCCAUAUGCUAUUAGUCUCUUUACUGAACUUCACAAGCAAUUUAGUUAGCACAUUUUGCUUGCAGCUGUCUGUUACACACUGAAUCUGAUAUCAUCAUGCCGUUUACCAUCUAGCCAGAUGACAUAAUGGAACACCUUCCGGUUAUUCUACACAAAGUCUGAAAUUCCUUAACCCUAUAAGAAAUUGACAUAGAAAUGGUGAACCAUAAAAGGACAAAAACUUUUAUAAGCAUUAACAUAUGACCUGUGAAGAAAUAGUAUUUCAAUGAUUCAAGUCCUCAAAGAAAAUUUUUCUCAGCCACCUAGAUCUCUACUGGAAUUCCUAAAAGGAUAGUCUUGGCCAACUUCCAAUGCUGUCACCUCCUCUUAAAAAAGCCAUCAUCCAGCUAGGGAUAUGAUCCUCUGCUUUUAUCCCCUUCCUAUUGCCAUGAAAUUCACUUCUCUGCUUCAGCAAUUUCCCUCUUAAAAGGUCCACAGAAAAGUUUUAAGAAUCAAUCCUCCAUCCCUACUUUCAGAAGGAUUGGGGCAGAGUACCAACUACCAAGAUGAGCAGAAUUUUAUAUAAAAACAGCCCAAAAAUAAUAUUCUCAUAAUAAUGAACUUUUCAAGAAGAUACCACAAAUCCUAUCAAUGUUAUCUUGUUGAACUUCACAAGAAGAUACUAUAGAUCCUAUCAAUAAAGGUGAAUCACAGUACCAUGUACAAAAGAAGAAUCAAAAUCCUAGUGAGAGUUAGAUUUGAUUUCUUUAAUUAUGAAUUUUUUUUAUUCCUAUUCUCAUUCUAAAAAACAAUCCAAACACAGGGUUAAGGAUCCAAAAUCAUGAGGAGGGGACACUGCAAUUAAAAUUUAAAAUUACAGUACCAUCUUUUAUAAACAUUUUUUGAAAAAAAAAAAAAUCUAAGAAACCUUUUUUUUUUUUUUUUUUUUUUUCAUUUUUCAAGUUUCAAGUAAUCCACAAAUAAAAUGAAUUGUUGAUCAUCAAUCAUGUAGCUAAUAUGUAACCAAUAAAAUGUGUCAUAAUUACCUGGAAAAUUUCUGUAAGAACCAGAAGCCUCCAACGCAACAUGUUUUUGCCAAUUCGAAGUUCUUCUAGGUUGAAAAUGACAAGAAAUAGGAUGCCCGUGCUGCUCUCUUAAUUUCUGAGAGAACGGCAAAGAAACACUCGGUCUCCUCGCGAAUUUAUCCGUGUCAAUACAUGCAGAAAAUUGCAUCUUUAGCGCAAUUUUGGCCUCCAUUCUUCUUUUACAACUCCUAAAUCCUCAAACAACUCGAUUUCACUGCAACAUCAAUCAACUUUCAAGUAAAUUGACAGUUAUGGAAAGGAUUUCGCUGCAAAAACGUAGACGUUCCAUCAAUUGAUCAUAAAAACAUGACUUUUAACCCUAACAUCCCGUUUGGCUGCCGAGAAAAGUCCAGAAUUUUACAAUAAAUUGGGGGUCGGAGAUGGCGGUUAUAAGUUUCCAAUUUGUCUAUUUUCUUCUCCUCUCCCCAAUUUCUCACCGACCAAUCAGGACAUUAGCCGCAACUAAUGCAGAUCGAAUACAGAGAUAAGCUCAAAAACAUGAUUCAAUUUCGCAGAACUCAUUGUCAGAGGUUAAUAGCCUUAACAUUCAGCCCCGGUUCUGCUGUAAAAAAUUUAUGAAAAAUAAAAAACAUCCCCGAAAAAGCCCUUCAACCUCAAAACCGAAUCCAAAAAAAAAAAUGUUCAUUUGACUGAGCUUUUGUGAAUUCCCCAAUAUUCAAAAUAUUUCUCGUCCCGGAAACCAACCAGAGGCAAAUGAUCCAGAAUUUCAAAACCCAAUAUAAACUUUUAAAGAGAGAGAUAAUUUUAUUAUUCAAACCAAAAAAAAAAAACUGAAUUUAGAGAACAUACCAGAAAAAUGAAUCACUCAGAUUGAAGAGAAUAAAAGAAAGAUUGCAAAAAACUGAAGCAGACGCCUCUCUUAUUUCAGCUGUUUCAAUGUUUCUAUGUCGUUCGCUUUCUAAGUUCCUAUAGAUAUAUGGUAGGCGGCGCGAGGCCACCUACCACUGAUGUACGGGUAUUCGUUGCCUCCGGCCCUCCUUUAAAUUUACGAGGCCACCUACCACUGAUGUACGGACAAUCGUUGCCUCCGGCCCUCGACUCUUAGAAUGCGUUCGGUGUUUUAAAGAACUGAAAAUUUUUAUCUUUAAGUUACAACUUGCAAGAUAAAAAGGAACGCUAAACAAGCUACAACAAUUUAAAAAUUAUGGCAAUUUUAGAAAACAUUUCUCUUCUCAAUCUAUGUUGGGUGCAAUAUAUUUGAAAGUUAUCUUUAAAAAAAAAUGAUUAUUAUAAUAUAACUUUAAUUUUUUUAGUGAAGGAGAAAAACAAUUUUCAAUUGAUACAAAGUGUCCCAAAUUUAGUCAUAAUUUUAAAACCAUGUAUUUUAAUAAAUAUUUCAAAAAUUAUAUAUUUUUUUUCUAAAUCCCUAAUAUAUAAUAUGGAUGUAUCACAAUGAAAAUACAAAGUACUAAUAUUAAAAUUAGUAAUAGUCUAUCUUUGUAUUAUAUAUCGGAUAUUAUAAUGAGACUCUUAAAUUUAAGGAUAUUAUUUAAUGUGAUAUUUUUUUUUCCUUUUUGUAGGAAAAAAAAAAAAUUAAGGGCCCUUCUUAUAGUAAUAUUUUAUUUUAAUAAAAUAAUUAUUAGUAUAAUCAAAUAAUAUAGUUAAAAAUAAAAGUUGUAUGAUUUUUUUUAAUUGAAUGUCGUUUUUGUUUAAGUGUGCCUCAAAGUGAUUUUAGAAUAAUGAAGUGUUUCUUUUAAAAAAUAUUAUAAAUGAUUUUUUAAUAUAUUCUUUUUUUUAAAUUUUAAAAGUAUUUUUUAAAUUUUACCACACAUCUAAGGCUAUAUUUGAUACCCUUAAAAUGUGAGAGAAAAUACAAAUAAAAAAUAGAAGAAAAUAAAUUUAAAAUAAAUUAAUUAAUUUUAUUUGUUAAAUCAAACUCAUUUCAUUUAUUUUAAGUCAUUGAUAUAAAAUUAAAUAAUUUAAAAAAUAAUGACUUUUUAAUUAAUUUUAAUCAUAUUUUUUUUAGUAAGACUAUCAAAUAUAAAAAAAUGAAUUUAUUUUUUUAACUUUUUUUUUUGUGUGUUUCAGGAACCAAACUUAACCCUAAUAUUUUUUUAAAAAUAUUUUUAAAUUAAAAAUACUUUAUAAAAUCACUGUAAAAUAAAAUUUAAAACUUAUUACAUCCUAUGUAUUUGCAUAAUAUGUGAAUUUGAAAAUUAGACACUAUUAGGAGAUAUAAAAUAUUUAUGUAGUGUUUGUGUUGGGCAAUUAAAAUUAUCAGUUUAUUUGGAACAAUAAAGUAGAAUGUAUAGAGAACACUUUUAACCUAAUUGGAGGAAACUUUCUCCAACAACAAAAUAUGGUAAAAAUAUUUCCUAUUGAGAUGUUGUUGAACUUAUUACGCAAGUAUAAGAAAACAAUUAUAAACACAAAUACUAUUAGAUUCCCUUUUUGUAAGGAAAUUUUUAUUCAUAUGGGAAGAGUUGUGCCGGAAGACGAAAGUUGCCUAUCAUAUAUCAUGUAAUAGAAAAUAGAAAAGAAGAAGAAAAAACGGGGAUGUUGCCACGGGUGGAAAAUGUGGAUAAGAAGACAGGACACGAGUCAGUGGAGGAUUCGGUGGGGAUAUGCGUUGAGGAUAGGGGUGAGGAUUGUGGUGGGACAAGCCACCCAACUCAGGGCUAAUGGGUGGUUGGUAAAUUUAUUAUUUAUCCUUUUUUUUUUUUUUCUUGUGGGUCUGCCUGAAUGAGGAUAUACCAUAUAUGCCCAUAACUUGAUUCCUCGUCUCUAUCAAUUAUCAUUAGUCCACCCAUUGUGUCAAUACUUUGUUUCAUGAGGAUCUUUUCGUCAUUUCAUAUCCCACUUUAUUUUUCCUUUUUUGUUUAAACAAUCUUAUUUCUUUGUAUCAAUUGUCAUUUUUUUCUUAUUUUCCUUUAAUAAUUCAUAUUAUAUUUAAACUCAAUACAAAUAUAAUAUUUAUGUGAAACCGGUUACGUUGACAGGGACAAAUAAAUAGGAAUUAACUUUGGAAUAUAAAAAUAAACGUUUUUUUUUUUAGAACAAAUCAAACAUGCUAGUGGGCCCUUUUGGGCCAGGAGUCAAGCCCGUGGAAAAGUGUUCAGGUGGACCCGGUCAAAAAGGCCGGUCAGCCCACCAGUAGCACACCUACCCCAUCCAACAACCACGGUCCACGGUUUUAUUGGAAGAAAACGGAGAUAUUUAUUUAUUUAUUUUCUUAAAUUAUAAAUAAAUAAAAUGUCGCAUAUUUUUAAUUUUAUAAAAACUGUAUUUCAUGUUAUUAAAUUUAUUAACGAAUUAAUUUAUAGAAUUAUCCUUUUCAAACAUAUUUAUUGUUUAGGUGUGGAUACAUUUUUUACUUUCCAUUUUUUAAAAUAAAAAAUAAUAGUAACUUUAAUUUAAAAUAUAAAAUAUUUGUAGGUAUAUUUUGAAAAUAAUAUUAAUUUUUAAAAAAACUAGAUAUUAAAAUUGUUACUAUAUAAGAAUGUAAAAAAAAAAUCUAAAAUAUUUUUUGAGAAUAUAAAAUAUAUUUAUAUUUUUUAUAAAAAAAUAUUAUUUUAUAUUAAAGUUAGGAUUAUUUUUAUUUUUAAAAAUAAAAAAUAUCAAAUAAUCAUAUGAUACAAAAUAUUAUUUAAUUACAAAAAUUAAAAUGAAAAUAAAAUGUCUUUCAUUGUCCUUAAUUGUUCUCAUGCACAUACAUUCUCAAUUUUUGUUAAAAGAAAAAUAUUUAUUUAUUUAUUUAUUCCUCUGGAUUCGUUGAAUUGGUAUCCACCCCAAUUUUGGUCUAUUAGAUAUGUCAAUAGUUUACGACUGGUAUGAUUCGCCUACUUGGCCAAACCGGGACCAUUCCCGGAAUGGAUAAAAUAUUGGGUUGAACUCUAUGAAUAAUGGAUGCAAUCAUCGACAUUCAUCUUCAACUUGAAGGUUUUUUUUUUUUUUUUUUUUCUUAUUUUUAAUGGAUACCCAAUUGUAAAAUAUAAUAUAUAGGAUUGUAAGUUAGGUGGAUUUAAUCCAAAUUAAGAAUAAUUAAUUUGAUAUAACUUAAUUUAAUAACCUCUAAUUUUAGAUGCUUAAAUACACUCUAACCUAACCAAAUAUAUUUUUAAGUUCUAAUUGAGUACGGGUUAAUUAUAUUAUAUUGAGAUUGAUUGGAUUGUAUAAUUUAAAAUUUAUUUUAAAUAUUUUUAAUUUUUUUCUAUAUAUUUGUAUCAUAAUAUAAAUAUCGAAUAAAUAAAAUUUGAAGAUUAUAAGGGAUAUGAUAUAGAUGUUGAUUUAAAAAUAAAAAUUAUAUUGUAUUUCAAUAUUUAUUAAAACAAUAUGAAAUUUUUGUUAUGUUAUUUAUAAAAUUUUCAAUAAUUUAAAAUUUAAUAAAUAAAUUUUAUUUAUCUAUUAAUAAUAUUCAUGAUUAAAAAUUUAAAAUUUAUAAAUAAAGAAUUUCAAAUUAUCUUAUUCAAUAAAAAAUUUCCAUAUAUGUUAAAUAAUACAUAUAUUAAUAUCAAUUUACAAUAUAUUUUUAAUUAUUAUUUUGUAACUACAAAUUGAAUUUUUAAUAAAAAAUAUUUGUUUUAUAAAAUAAGUAAUAUAAAAAUAAAAAAUUAAUGAAAAAUAAAUUUAUGAUAUAUAAUAUGUGUAUAUCCAAUAUCUCAAUUUAGGAUCAAUAUUAAUAAAUGAGAUAUAAUUUAAAGCCACCAACGAGAUUUCAUUACCAUGUUAGCUUUAAUCAAAUUCGCCAACACUUCAUUUUUAGAGGACCUAUAAUGUAAUAUAUACCUCCUAUGAUGUGACAUGUUGGUUGUUGGAUACCAUAAUUUAAUUUUGGGAUAAUAAUAAUUAUGGCCUUUGACUCUAUAUAAUUGAGCCAAAGUCCUUUUAUAUUUUAUUUUCCAUCUCAUCACCUUCAAUUUUUUAUAUAAAUGUUGUGAGAGAUAUUUGACUCUACAAAAAAAAAGUCAAAAUUAUGAUUUUUCUUUACAAAAAGAAAAAAAAAUGAUUUCUCUAUAUUUGUAUGAUAAGUGGAUGGGAGGAGAUGAAGGAUUUUUUUUUUAAAUUAAUGGAAUUUAAUUUUACUUGAGAAUAAAAAAAAAAAAAGCAUGUUAGGUAAAAAUGAUUUAUUUAAAACAAAAUUUUGACAAAUUUUUUUUUUAAUGAUCAAAAUUGUAAUUAGUGACUAAUUUUAAAUUUAAGUCUAAAACCAUAAUUGGUGAUUAUGAUUUUUAAACUUAAAUUUAAGUUGUAGUCACCGGUUUUAUAUAUAUAUAUAUAUAUAUAUUUUUAAAUCAUAGUUACUAAUUACGGGUUUAUAAUGAAAAAAAAUAAAAAUAAAAUUUUUAGACCACGUAGAUGUCCAAAUGGUUAAGAUGUAUUAAUUUGAAAAUUAUUUUAAUGAAAGGUUUAAUUAGUAAAUUAUAUUUUUCAAAUAUAUUAUGUUUCUCAAAACUAAAAUAGAUACAUGUUUACUCAGCUCUCAUGACAUUAUUUCACCGACUUUAUCAUCACAACAAUCAUCUUCCAGAAAAUUGACACGACAAAGAUAGAUUUUUAAAAAUUAUUUUUUAAGUUUAGAUUCUAGAGCUAAUAAACAUUUGGAGCUCUUUAUUGGUCAAUUCAUGAUUUAUAAAGGCGGAAAAAAAUUAUAAUAAUAUUAUUUGAUUUAUUAACAUAAUAUAAGUUAUUGAACCUUAUUAUAUAUUAACAGACAAAACUCAAUUUCGUUCUCACUAUUAAUAGUUAUGAAAUUUAUUUUUAUUUUAAUUUUUUAUAUUAUUAAUGAUGAAUAAAAAAAUAAAUAAAAGAAUUUAUACCAACUAUAUAUAGUCCUUGAUGGGUAAAUAAGUAAAAGAAAUAUAUAUCACUUAGCAUGAUUUUCACUUGUAAGGUUACCUAGCGAUCACAUCAAUCUCCUAUCAACCACCACCCACAGACAGUAGACAUAAUUAAUAUUUAAAUAUAAAUAAAUAAAUAAAUAAGGAUACUGUUAGUGUAUGAUAAACAAUGCUAUUAGCCUACUAGCCUACUAGCCUCCUCCUAGCAUUCACGGGGAUCACACCUGUAACAAGAGUGACCGGAUAUUUGAUGGCUAUUUAUCUUUAGUCAAAUCAUAACCAUAACGUGCUCCCCCGUGUUUCAAUUGUCUUAGCCUUUUAAGUGGCUUGCGUAACGGUUUCUGAACUCUUAACUUUUGUCAUUAUACUUAAUUUAAUUUCGAUGCUCUCAAUAUCUUCAGUAUUUAGUGUUUGACAGAUAGUAAUAUAAUAUGCAGAGCUAGAUAAUUUUUAUCCGUCCAUAUUGCUGAAUAUCUGUCCAUAUCCUUGGACCAACGGAAAAAGAUACAGUUGCAAUGAGGCGAGCAUAUACGUUUUAUAUUUUUUUUAAAAAUAUAUUUUUAUAUAAAAACUAAAUAUCUUAAUAAAAAAUAUAAAUGUAUCUUAUACUUUUUAUAAUAAUUUUAAAAAUAAAAAAUUUUAAUAUAAUUUUUUUAAAGAAUUUUUUAAAAUACCAUUCAAACGGAGUAUAUAUUCAGUUGAGUUUAUUGGUACCAUGCUUGAAUGAUUUUGAGAUGAAGCGAGAUUAAUAAUUCUUGUUGUCGAGUCUUGGGAGCCUGAGCCCAGUCUGAAACUCAAGGCCAGAAGAGGCCCAAUGGGCUAUUUGCAGAUUUCUGUGCUCUCGUCCUCGCUAGUUGUGCGUGUGUGUAUCCAAUCAGACAGGAUCAUUUUUCCAGUGCUUCAGCCAUGGCGACUGGUAUGCAGAAAACCAAAGACAUGGAAGAUGAGGUUUUAUUCUUCUCGACUAUCUCAAACCCUUCUUGAUUACUUCCAUUUCCGCACUCUUGUUUGGUUACUGGGAAAAUAGGAGAAUGCAAAAAUCGCCGGUUUCGAUGGAAUGAACGGAGAGCUAGGCUCCGUGUACUCCAGCAAGAAUUUUUGAAGAAAGAAAAUUCGGAUUUUCUUAGGUGAAACCUAAUCUCGUCUUGUAGAAUUCCACAUAAACAGAAAGAAGAGGACUUUGAAGGCGCAUCCUCUAAUGAGAAACCACUUUCGAGUAAAAUUCCACCUAAAAUCUUGUUACAGAACCACCAAGAAACAAGCCUUUAACUUCUCAACCUCAGUGUCACCUCAAUUUCUACUCCAGAACCCAUGUCUCCAAAUCCCCAAUCUCCGCCCCAAAAGGCGCGAAUUCGCCAAUCUCUUGCAAUUAUCUAUUUCAAGGAAUCCCAUAAUUCAUUACAAGAUAAUUCAUGGUCAAAUUAUUGUCUCAGGCCUUCAAUCGGAUACUUUUCUUGCCAACAUUCUCAUAAACGUGUGCUCAAAAUCUGAUCGUGUGGACAAUGCCCGUGUAGUGUUUGAUAAAAUGCCGCAUAAGAAUUUAAUUACAUGGUCUUCUAUGGUUUCUAUGUACUCCCAACAAGGUUAUAGUGAAGAAGCAUUGAUGGUUUUUGUGGAUUUGCAACGAAAAUCUGGUGAGCAUCCGAACGAGUUUGUCUUAGCUAGUGUUAUUCGGGCUUGCACGCAAUUGGGUGUUGUUGAAAAAGGUGCCCAAUUGCAUGGUUUUGUUGUUAGGAGUGGUUUUGAUCAGGAUGUUUAUGUGGGUACAUCUUUAAUUGAUUUUUAUUCCAAAAAUGGGAAUAUAGAGGAAGCUAGAUUGGUUUUUGAUCAACUCUCGGAGAAAACUGCAGUGACUUGGACUACAAUUAUAGCAGGGUAUACAAAAUGCGGGAGGAGUGCAGUUUCAUUAGAAUUGUUCGCCCAAAUGAGGGAAACCAAUGUUGUUCCUGAUAGAUAUGUCGUCUCUAGCGUUUUGAGUGCGUGUUCGAUGCUUGAGUUUCUUGAAGGGGGCAAGCAAAUUCAUGCAUAUGUGUUGAGAAGGGGAACAGAAAUGGAUGUUUCAGUGGUUAAUGUGCUUAUAGAUUUCUAUACAAAGUGCAAUAGAGUGAAAGCUGGACGGAAACUAUUUGAUCAGAUGGUAGUGAAGAAUAUUAUUUCAUGGACCACUAUGAUUUCUGGCUAUAUGCAGAAUUCAUUUGAUUGGGAGGCCAUGAAGUUGUUUGGAGAAAUGAAUAGAUUAGGUUGGAAGCCAGACGGGUUUGCUUGUACUAGUGUUCUCACUUCGUGUGGUUCACGUGAGGCUCUAGAACAGGGGAGGCAAGUGCAUGCUUACACCAUCAAGGCCAAUCUUGAGUCUGAUGAGUUUGUGAAAAAUGGUUUGAUUGAUAUGUAUGCAAAAUCCAAUUUGCUGAUUGAUGCAAAAAAAGUUUUUGAUGUUAUGGCCGAGCAGAAUGUGAUAUCUUACAAUGCAAUGAUUGAAGGAUACUCGAGUCAGGAGAAGCUGUCCGAAGCAUUGGAACUUUUCCAUGAAAUGAGAGUCAGGUUGUUUCCACCAAGCCUCUUGACCUUUGUUAGUCUCCUUGGUGUAUCAGCUUCACUAUUUGCUCUGGAACUUAGCAAGCAAAUUCAUGGACUAAUCAUAAAAUUUGGUGUCUCUUUGGACCUAUUUGCUGGCAGUGCUUUAAUAGAUGUUUAUUCCAAAUGUUCUUAUGUUAAAGAUGCAAGACAUGUAUUCGAGGAGAUGAAUGAGAAAGAUAUCGUUGUGUGGAAUGCAAUGUUUUUUGGAUACACCCAACAUUUGGAAAAUGAGGAGGCCCUAAAACUCUACUCAACAUUACAAUUUUCGAGGCAAAAACCCAACGAGUUCACUUUUGCUGCCCUCAUCACAGCAGCUAGUAACCUAGCAAGUCUUCGACAUGGUCAACAGUUUCAUAAUCAGCUUGUAAAGAUGGGUCUAGACUUUUGCCCCUUUGUAACAAAUGCCCUUGUGGAUAUGUAUGCCAAGUGUGGAAGCAUUGAGGAGGCUCGCAAAAUGUUUAAUUCAUCGAUUUGGAGAGAUGUUGUCUGUUGGAAUUCCAUGAUCUCAACCCAUGCACAGCAUGGAGAAGCUGAAGAAGCUCUCGGGAUGUUCAGAGAAAUGAUGAAAGAGGGAAUACAACCCAACUAUGUCACAUUUGUAGCUGUGCUCUCAGCAUGUAGCCAUGCAGGGCGUGUAGAGGAUGGGCUCAAUCACUUCAAUUCAAUGCCUGGAUUUGGAAUCAAACCAGGGACAGAACAUUAUGCUUGCGUGGUUUCUCUCUUGGGCCGAUCUGGUAAACUGUUUGAAGCAAAGGAGUUUAUUGAGAAAAUGCCAAUAGAACCAGCAGCAAUAGUGUGGAGGAGUUUGCUUAGUGCAUGUAGAAUUGCUGGUAACGUAGAAUUGGGAAAAUAUGCAGCUGAAAUGGCAAUUUCAACAGAUCCAAAGGAUAGUGGAUCAUAUAUUUUACUCUCAAAUAUUUUUGCAUCUAAAGGUAUGUGGGCAGAUGUGAAGAAGGUGAGGGACAGAAUGGACUCUAGUGAGGUGGUGAAAGAGCCUGGACGUAGUUGGAUUGAAGUGAAUAACAAGGUUAAUGUCUUUAUCGCAAGAGACACAACUCAUCGUGAAGCUGAUAUAGGUUCAGUUUUGGACAUACUGAUUCAGCAUAUCAAAGGGGCUGGUUAUGUGCCUGAUGCUACUGCCCUUUUGAUGAAUGAUGGAGGAUAAACCUAGGUGUAGCUAGAUUUUGAUUCAUUGGUGAAAACUUGAGUCAUGCAGCUCAUCUGUCCAUCCUGGACUUGCAGAGGUUUACAUAGAGGAAAAGUUCUUGUUCUGAGCUUUUUAUGGACUAUUUUUUGAACUGCAUACUUCAACCAGUGCAUUUGAACUUGUAAUGAUGAAUUUUGUUCUCUUGUUUACCUACCAUGAAGCUGGUGACCCUCUAAGAUGAAGGGGUAUGGUUAUGACGUUCAAAUUUUUGUUAGGCUCUGAAUCAUAGCCAGCAGUUUGAGAAACAGGUAAGGUUUGGGGAUGACUUGAGCUCACUUGUUGAUUUCUAUGAAAGUGUUGGUUAAAGAAGUGGGGUGUCCCUGAAAAUUUUGGAUGAUUCCAAUGCAUCUCUCAGUUCAAGGAUACCUGGCCUGGGGACAUGCCUAACCAGGGAAACAAUGGAGCUGAAAAAGCUGCAGAAAAAAAUGAGCAGAAAAUAUGUGAAAUAUGUAGCUUAUGGAUUCUCAAGAGAGAGUGAGGGAGAAAUCUCUUGGCCUUUUACCUUUUGUCAUCUCCUGUUUAGUCUUUUGUGGACAACUCAGAUGGGCUCUCCUAAUUCUUUGGUGAUCCUCUAAUCUUUUGUCUACUCUUGGGGGCAACUCGGGCUCACGCUCACCUAUUGAUUGAUACAAUGCCAUGUAUGAUACAUGGGAAUGGAGAAUAAAAAUGAAUAUUUUGUUUUUAUUCUUAUUUUACCAUUAAAUAGGAGUGAAUUUGAUAAUAUCAGUUCUUAUUUGUAUGCACUUAGAAAUAUAAGGUUGAAAUGAUUAUUUGUUUUCAUUUAGGGGGUGUUUGGUACAUCGGAAUAGGGAAUGGAAAUAAUAUUUUGUUUCCUUUCCUAUUUCUUAGUGGAAUGGAAUGAAUUUGAUGAUUCCAUUUCUAGCAUUUGGAUGAAUUUAGGAAUACAAGAUUGGAAUGAUUAUUUGUUUCCAUUCCAAUGUUUGAUAAUAAUAGGAAUGGAAAUGAAAAUGAAAUAAAUUUAUAAUAAUAUCCUUACAUAUAAUUAAAAAUAUUUUUUUAUUUUUACUUUUAUUUUAAAAAAAUAAAAUUUGAGAGGUUUUUUGUUAUUAAAUAAUAAGACUAAAAUAUAUAUAUAUAUACUCAAUAAAUAAAAAAUUAACCAUAAAAAAUCGUAUAACCCUAAUGCACAAAUAUUCAAUUAUUAUUUUUAUUAAAAAUUUGAAUAAUUUGUCAUGCUUAAGUAGUUAUAAAAUUAUAUUUUUUCAAAAAAUAAUUAUUUAUUAUAAUAUUUAAAUUCUCAAAGUUAGCAAAUGUUUUUCCUAUUUUCAAAAGAGGAAAUAAAAGAAUUCAAAUUUAUUCUAAUUUUCAACAAGUAUCAUAUCCGAUAAAAUCCAUAACCUUAAAAAAAAUUUGUUUUUAUUUGUUUUUUUCUUUUUAUUUUUUUCCUAACCAUUAAAAAUUUUCAAUAUUGUAAACACUUUAAAUCCAUUUCAAUUUUUCUCUCCAGUUUCCAUUGAUACAAGCUAAAGAAACAUCAAAGAUUCCAAACAUAAAUUAAUAAAAAAAAAUUAAUCGAUUUAUAGAGAAGAAGAAACACAUAUAAAGAAGUAGAAGAAGAAAUAGAAAAUAAGGUAAACCUGAUCGAAGAUGUAGAAGGGAGUUUUCAGAACCUAGUUGCAGCAAACAAUGACGAAUCCUAGAUCCAACAAUCAAAAUGAACAUCCAAAACCCUAUAAAUUAGAAAUUGAUUUUUUUUUUUUUUUAAAUAUCGUGGAAGGUUUAAUUGAUUCAAUUUGGAAGAAUCACUUGUUGCAGAGAAUUGGAUGAUGAGUGGGUCUCUAGCUUUGCAAAGAAGAUAAGAAGUGGAUGAUGAGUGAGUCUUUAGCUUUGCAAAGAAGAUAAGAAGUGGAUGAUGAAUGGAUCUCUACCUUUGCAAAGAAGAUAAACAUCGGGUUUGAAGAACAAGAUAAGAGGGUAAAAUAGUAAUUUAGGUUAUUUUAUAUUAUCAAAUAGGUUUAAUGAAUCAGAAUACCACCUACUUUUAAUGAAUGCAAAUCCGACUCAUAAGUUGGAUUUGAUUUCUGCCGGAAUAAUUUUUUAUUUCAUUUCCACCUUUUUAACAUUUAUCCAAACAUAGGAAUAAGGGAGAAAAUGAAUGAGAUGUCUAUUCCCACUCCCUAUUCCCGUGUACCAAACACCCCCCUAAGGUUAGGUAAAAAUAGGAAUGAGAAUGGAAAAAGAAAUAAAUUAAUAAUAUUAAUAUACAGUUUAAAAUAAAUUUUUAUUUUCAUUUUGGACAAAACGUUUUUUGAGGUUUUUAAUGAACAUACAUAGAAAAAGAAAAAAAAAAAGACAUACAUAUAAAAAGCAAAUAAAGUAGAACACAAUAUCUCUCUUCUCUGAUUCUCUUUUCACAAUCCAAUCCUUAUACCAAAAAUCUUCAAACAUGAUAUUCCUUUGAUUUAUAUAUAUAAUUUUAUAAAUUUCUUUUAAUUUAUCUAAAUUUUUUAUCAAGUAAUAAAUUUAAAAUCAAGCAAAACUUAAUACAAAAAAUUUAUUAAUUUUUUAUAAUAGUUUGGAAUUAAAAACUAUUCAACUAGUAUUAAAAAGCCAUGUAACUUAAAACCGAUCAAAUUAACACUAAAAUGUUACAAACUUAAAUUCAUUUUGAAUGGCUUUGCUAAUUUUUUCUAUCUAAUCAUAAUUUUAUGAUUUUUUUUAGUAGGUAAAUGAACUUCAAAUUAAAUAAAACAUAAUGCGUUGUAUUUGUUAAUAAAUCUAAUAAUUUUAAAAAUAAUUUAAUACUCAAACAAUGACCAAAUAAAUACAAACUGAUCAAUUCAAAAACAAGUCAACUAGUAUUAAAAAGUCAUAUAAAACCCAUCAAAUUAUAAAAAAAAUGUUUUAUUUAGAAAAUCAAAUAUAGAAAACAGUAUUCUCAUGAAGACAUUUAUACCAGAGUUUUGAGCAAAAAUAAUGUAUUUAAAAAAAAAAAAAAUUCCACAAACUAAACCUUCUAUUAGAAUAAUUCCAAAUCAUUAAAUCAUAUUAAGGUAGUAAGUUUAAAAAGUGGUUUCUCCUAUGUCAGUGUAAAAUUCACAUCAAAAAAAGGAAAAAAGUGAUGUAUGAGCAUCCAUAUGGGGUAAAGUCUCAAUGUUUUUAAACCCACUCUAUGAUUCUAUCCACACAAAAGAUGUACGUAAGCUUAUUAAAUAAACAUGUCUACAAAGAUGCAUGCUACAUGCACCGAAAUAGAAAUACCCUAUAUUGGCUUACAAAUAAUUCAUCAAAUUUGGUAUGAAAAAAUUUAAAAACUUGUUUCUCUCUGCACGAAAUUACUAGCAGACCAAACUAAUGAUCCAACAACUAAUAAUUAAAUUAAAUAUACUGCUGUCUUAUUCUCCUCUCUUUCCUGAUCAGGAAAAAUAAGCCUCAUUACGUGCUUCAUACACUGUUUUCUCAUAUUGUAUGAAAAUGAACUCCUCUGCUACUUCCCAGCCUUCAUUAUCCGACUUCUCUUGAUCACUGGGAUGAAAACAGCUCUAAAAAAGAGAUAGCAAAAAAAAGAAAAAUGUCUAAAAAUAAGCUUGGAUCAUUAAAAUUGAUGGGCAUGUUUCCAAUGAGCUUGAAUAUAGACCAAAAAUGGAUUCCCAAAUUGCUUAAAAAUAAAAGAGCAAACUCACUUGAGAACAAGUAAAUACAAUCACUGUCAGCCAGGUCCAGUACUCGAGCGAGUGUUUUUGACGAUCAUCAGCUCGUUCUUGUAGAAAAUACAAGAGUGCAGGUGUCAACUGCAUCUCAUAGUGCAUUGAACCCCCACAAUGCCUGCAUCUCCCUGGGUCUUCUACCUCUUCCAUAGCCAGAAGUGGCUUCCCACCACAUGAGUAUCUAAGCAUAUGGCCACCCGAAAAGGCAUAAAAUGAUAAGGUAAUUUGGAAAUAGUUGCAGUCAUCUAAUAUAAUGGCAUUCUAUAUAGUUGUGAGAAUUCCUACUUUUGGGGGUCAAAUCUUGUAUCAAACAUUCCAUUACAAGUAUGUAGGUAACCUUCAUCAGAAAUGAGUAAAGGCAGUUAGGGUUAUACCUGAAACAUUGUUCUGGGUAUGCAUCUAGACAUUUCCUGAACCUGAAGUAAGUCCUGUCAGCAUUCCAAGCCCCCGUAUACUCAUAAGCCUCCUCGUUGGAUACUGCUUUCUGGGUCUGUUCUUUCUUUAUUUCCCUUGAGGAUAACUCUUCCUCAGUGUAUGUAUAAAAACAAGGCAACACUGCAAUCAAGAAACAUUAAUAAAAAUCUCUUCCAGUUGAACCAUCACAUCUUAUUAAUUAUGAUAUCUACCGUUUUACUUUUACCUGGUGUGUCAUUAUAAACCAACCUAGUUCCAGGACUCAAAGGUGAGGACUUCACAGUAGGCUUGGUGUUCAAAGGUGAAGACUUCACAGUAGGCUUGGCGUGCCGCUUCUUGGAAAAAGAAGCCACGCUUGCAGCUUCAAAGAGAGCCACACCCAACUCCUCCAAAUCAAUAUCUUCGUCAUUUUCAUCAUUCCCCUCUUCCGUCCAUAUAUCAUUAUUCCAUCCAGCAACAGGAGAUGAUGCAACGGCAGUCUCUUGUACUACUUCCUCGUCGGUAGGAUUUAAUUUCUGAACACGAAUAGCCCGCCAGCUACACGGAUUUCUUCCACAUGUGGGCGUCAAACAGCCCAAAACAUAGAUUACCCGCUCGUCAAUAUUCAAAUUUUUGCCAGAAAUCGGGGCAUAAACCUAAAAAAAAGGGGCAUGAAUUCAAAGACCCACAUUUCAAAUCCACAAAACUUUCAUAGUAUCACUACCUGAGCCACAAGACAGAGAUCCUUUUCACAUAUAGCACACCGAAGAAGAUGGGGUUUUGAGGAGAGCAACUGCGGAAUCGGCCAGUCCUGCAUUCGAAAAUCAACCGCCGGGAUAUGAAUGGAGUUCUAUUUAAAUAAAUAAAAAAAUCAGACAAAUCUGUAGAAUCUGCAGUUGCUUACAGGCAGUCCACCAAUUUUUGUGGUGUAGUGGUCUGACGGUUCAGAAUCGUUCUCAGCCCAUGGUCCAGGCAUGCCCACCAAUUCGAGGACUGCGUCACCCAUUGUAACUGCAAAAAUUUACUCAAAAUAUAAGGUGGCGGCAAGGUGCUCACCGAAGACGACGGAAGUGGCGGUGAUUAAGAGGAAAGAAAUAAAAUAAUAAAUUCCAACUCUCUCUUAUAUAUUUGAUUUUCCGACUCUCCAUCUCCUCAAGGAAGGAAAAUUCGAUAACAAGUAAAAGAAUACCAAAAUAAAAGGAUUCUAGUUAGUUAUACCAUGUUUGAAAAUUAUGACAUGUUACCUUAUGAUGCGCGCCUAAAAAGGUGUGAUUUUGAUGAUACUUAACUUUUUCUAAAAUUAAACUAUUUUAUAUUACUUACCUUAAAAAAUUGAAAUAUACUGAAAAUUUUUAUUUUUGUUUAUAUUAUUAAUGAAAAUAAUUAAAUAUUAGUUUGAAUAUAUUUUUUGCUUUUUCUUUUUGAAAUUUAAAAUUUUGAUAAAUUUCACACAAAAUAUAAUAAUUCAUCAUAAUAUGUUUUAAAUAUUACCAUUAAAACUUUUGAAAUUUAAGAUAAUCAAAAUUUUAAAUUUUAAGCCUUUUUUGAAAAGCCAUUAUCCUUUUAAGAUAAGAAUAAAAAAGGAUGAGUUAAUAACAUCUCUUUAAAAAUACAAAAAAAAGAAAAAAAAAAAAGAAAUCUAUCCAUCCAAUAUUAAUUUCUUCAAAUAUAUAUUUUUUGCAUUUAGAUGAUAAGUUGAAUGGAAGUUAAUUUAGAUCAAGUUUAAAAUUUUAUUUUGCCACAUAGUCAUUAGUUACAUUAAUAAAAUUUUAAAAAUAAAGAUAAUAAAAAAUAUUAAGGCUAUGUUUGAUUUUAAAAAUAUUAAGAAAAGUAAUUUUGAUUCCAUCACAAAAAGUAUAUAAAAAUAUCAAAUAUAAUUAAAAUUCAUCAAAAAAUUAUAUAUAUUUAAAUUAUUUAAUCUUUAUAUAAUAAAGAAAAAUAAGUAAAAUGAAUUUUAAAAAUAUAUAAAAAUAAUUAAUUAAAUUAACAAAAAAAAUUCUUCUAUUUUUUUAUUUUAUUUUAUUUCAUAUUUUUCCUCAAUUUUUUUUAGAAACAAACACAACAUAAGGAAAUUAACCAAAGAAUUAGAAAUCACAAAAGAUAUAAGUAUUGAAGUGUCACUUUGGGUUGGUUUUUGUUGGAAAGAAAGAAAUCGAAAAUCAAAUCCGUUGGGCUUCACCAUCAAAUCCAACUCUCUCAUCUCCUCGUAUCAGUCAAGGAAUGAAAAUUCGAUAAGGAGAAGUGAAGAAUACGAAAAUAAAAGUAUUCUAGUUAGUUAUACCAUGUUUGAAAAUUAUGACAUGUUACCUUAUGACGUGCGGCUAAAAAACUGUGAUUUCGGUGACGCUUAACUUUUUCUAAAAUUAAACUAUUUUCUAUUACUUACCUUAAAAAACUGAAAUAGACUCAAAAUUUUUAUUUUUGUUUAUAUUAUUAAUGAAAAUAAUUAAAUAUUAGUUUGAAUAUAUUUUUUGCUUUUUCUUUUUGAAAUUUAAAAUUUUGAUAAAUUUCACGUAAAAUAUAAUAAUUCAUCAUAAUAUGUUUUAAAAAUUACCAUUAAAACUUUUGAAAUUUAAGAUAAUCAAAAUUUUAAAUUUUAAGCCCUUUUUUUAAAAGCCAUUAUCCUUUUAAGAUAAGAAUAAAAAAGGAUAAGUUAAUAACAUCUCUUUAAAAAUACAAAAAAAAAAUAAAAUCUAUCCAUCCAAUAUUAAUUUCUUCAAAUAUAUAUUUUUUGCAUUUAGAUGAUAAGUUGAAUGGAAGUUAAUUUAGAUCAAGUUUAAAAUUUUAUUUUGCCACAUAGUCAUUAGUUACAUUAAUAAAAUUUAAAAAAUAAAGAUAAUAAAAAAUAUUAAGGCUAUGUUUGAUUUUAAAAAUAUUAAGAAAAAUAAUUUUGAUUCCAUCACAAAUAGUAUAUAAAAAAAUCAAAUAUAAUUAAAAUUCAUCAAAAAAUUAUAUAUAUUUAAAUUAUUUAAUCUUUAUAUAAUAAAGAAAAAUAAGUAAAAUGAAUUUUAAAAAUAUAUAAAAAUAAUUAAUUAAAUUAACAAAAAAAUUCUUCUAUUUAUUUUAUUUUAUUUUAUUUCAUAUUUUUCCUCAAUUUUUUUUAGAAACAAACAUAACAUAAGGAAAUUAACAAAAGAAUUAGAAAUCACAAAAGAUAUAAGUAUUGAAGUGUCACUCUGGGUUGGUUUUUGUUGGAAAGAAAGAAAUCGAAAAUCAAAUCCGUAUAGUCGGGCUUCACCAUCAAAUCCGAUCCGACUCUCUCAUCUCCUCGUAUCAGUCAAUGAAGGAAAAUUCGAUAAGGAGAACUGAAGAAUACGAAAAUAAAAGGAUUCUAGUUAGUUACACCAUGUUUGAAAAUUAUGACAUGUUACCUUAUGAGGCGGCUAAAAAGCUGUGAUUUCGGCUUUUUCUUUUUAAAAUUUAAAAUUUUGAUAAAUUUCACGUAAAAUAUAAUAAUUCAUCAUAAUAUGUUUUAAAAAUUACCAUUAAAACUUUUGAAAUUUAAGAUAAUCAAAAUUUUAAAUUUUAAGCAUUUUUUUAAAAGCCAUUAUCCUUUUAAGAUAAGAAUAAAAAAGGAUAAGUUAAUAACAUCUCUUUAAAAAUACAAAAAAAAAAAAGAUAUCUAUCCAUCCAAUAUUAAUUUCUUAAAAUAUAUUUUUUUUGCAUUUAGAAGAUAAGUUGAAUGGAAGUUAAUUUAGAUCAAGUUUAAAAUUUUAUUUUGCCACAUAGUCAUUAGUUACAUUAAUAAAAUUUUAAAAAUAAAGAUAAUAAAAAAUAUUAAGGCUAUGUUUGAUUUUAAAAAUAUUAAGAAAAAUAAUUUUGAUUCCAUCACAAAAAGUAUAUAAAAAAAUCAAAUAUAAUUAAAAUUCAUCAAAAAAUUAUAUAUAUUUAAAUUAUUUAAUCUUUAUAUAAUAAAGAAAAAUAAGUAAAAUGAAUUUUAAAAAUAUAUAAAAAUAAUUAAUUAAAUUAACAAAUAAAUUCUUCUAUUAUUUUAUUUUAUUUUAUUUCAUAUUUUUUCACAAUUUUUUUUAGAAACAAACAUAACAUAAGGAAAUUAACCAAAGAAUUAGAAAUCACAAAAAAUAUAAGUAUUGAAGUGACACUUUGGGUUGGUUUUUGUUGGAAAGAAAAAAAUGGAAAAUCAAAUCCAUAAAGUCGGGCUUCACCAUCAAAUCCUACUCUCCCAUCUCCUCGUAUCAGUCAAGGAAGGAAAAUUCGAUAAGGAGAAGUAAAGAAUACGAAAAUAAAAGUAUUCUAGUUAGUUAUACCAUGUUUGAAAAUUAUGACAUGUUACCUUAUGAUCUGCGGCUAAAAAGCUGUGAUUUCGGUGACGCUUAACUUUUUCUAAAAUUAAACUAUUUUCUAUUACUUACCUUAAAAAACUGAAGUAGACUCAAAAUUUUUAUUUUUGUUUAUAUUAUUAAUGAUAAUAAUUAAAUAUUAGUUUGAACAUAUUUUUUGCUUUUUCUUUUUUAAAUUUAAAAUUUUGAUAAAUUUCACGUAAAAUAUAAUAAUUCAUCAUAAUAUGUUUUAAAAAUUACCAUUAAAACUUUUGAAAUUUUAGAUAAUCAAAAUUAUAAAUUUUAAGCUUUUUUUUCAAAAGCCAUUAUCCUUUUAAGAUAAGAAUAAAAAAGGAUAAGUUAAUAACAUCUCUUUAAAAAUACAAAAAAAAAAAAAAAAAAAAAUCUAUCCAUCCAAUAUUAAUUUCUUCAAAUAUAUAUUUUUUGCAUUUAGAAGAUAAGUUGAAUGGAAGUUAAUUUAGAUCAAGUUUAAAAUUUUAUUUUGCCACAUAGUCAUUAGUUACAUUAAUAAAAUUUUAAAAAUAAAGAUAAUAAAAAAUAUUAAGGCUAUGUUUGAUUUUAAAAAUAUUAAGAAAAAUAAUUUUGAUUCCAUCACAAAAAGUAUAUAAAAAAAUCAAAUAUAAUUAAAAUUCAUCAAAAAAUUAUAUAUAUUUAAAUUAUUUAAUCUUUAUAUAAUAAAGAAAAAUAAGUAAAAUGAAUUUUAAAAAUAUAUAAAAAUAAUUAAUUAAAUUAACAAAGAAAUUCUUCUAUUAUUUUAUUUUAUUUUAUUUCAUAUUUUUCCUCAAUUUUUUUUAGAAACAAACAUAACAUAAGGAAAUUAACUAAAGAAUUAGAAAUCACAAAAGAUAUAAGUAUUGAAGUGUCACUUUGGGUUGGUUUUUGUUGGAAAGAAAGAAAUCGAAAAUCAAAUCCGUAAAGUCGGGCUUCACCAUCAAAUCCGAUGUAUCAGUCAAGGAAGGAAAAUUCGAUAAGGAGAAGUGAAGAAUAUGAAAAUAAAAGGAUUCUAGAUAGUUAUAUCAUGUUUGAAAAUUAUGACAUGUUACCUUAUGAUGCGCGGCUAAAAAGAUGUGAUUUCAGUGACGCUUAACUUUUUCUAAAAUUAAACUAUUUUCUAUUACUUACCUUAAAAAACUGAAAGAGUCUCAAAAUUUUUAUUUUUGUUUAUAUUAUUAAUUAAAAUAAUUAAAUAUUAGUUUCAAUAUAUUUUUUGCUUUUUCUUUUUAAAAUUUAAAAUUUUGAUAAAUUUCACGUAAAAAUAAUAAUUCAUCAUAAUAUGUUUUAAAAAUUACCAUUAAAACUUUUGAAAUUUAAGAUAAUCAAAAUUUUAAAUUUUAAGCCUUUUAUUUAAAAGCCAUUAUUCGUUUAAGAUAAGAAUAAAAAAUGAUAAGUUAAUAACAUCUCUUUAAAAAUACAAAAAACAAAAAGAUAUCUAUCCAUCCAAUAUUAAUUUCUUCAAAUAUAUAUUUUUUGCAUUUAGAUGAUAAGUUGAAUGGAAGUUAAUUUAGAUCAAGUUUAAAAUUUUAUUUUGCCACAUAGUCAUUAGUUACAUUAAUAAAAUUUAAAAAAUAAAGAUAAUAAAAAAUAUUAAGGCUAUGUUUGAUUUUAAAAAUAUUAAGAAAAAUAAUUUUCAUUCCAUCACAAAAAGUAUAUAAAAAAAUCAAAUUUAAUUAAAAUUCAUCAAAAAAUUACAUAUAUUUAAAUUAUUUAAUCUUUAUAUAAUAAAGAAAAAUAAGUAAAAUGAAUUUUAAAAAUAUAUAAAAAUAAUUAAUUAAAUUAACAAAAAAAUUCUUCCAUUUAUUUUAUUUUAUUUUAUUUCAUAUUUUUCCUCAAUUUUUUUUAGAAACAAACAUAACAUAAGGAAAUUAACCAAAUAAUUAGAAAUCACAAAAGAUAUAAGUAUUGAAGUGUCACUUUGGGUUGGUUUUGGUUGGAAAGAAAGAAAUGGAAAAUCAAAUCCGUAAAGUCGGGCUUCACCAUCAAAUCCGACUCUCCCAUCUCCUCGUAUCAGUCAAGGAAGGAAAAUUCGAAAAGGAGAAGUAAAGAAUACGAAAAUAAAAGUAUUCUAGUUAGUUAUACCAUGUUUGAAAAUUAUGACAUAUUACCUUAUGAUGCGCGGCUAAAAAGCUGUGAUUUCGGUGACGCAUAACUUUUUCUAAAAUUAAACUAUUUUCUAUUGCUUACCUUAAAAAACUGAAAUAGACUCAAAAUUUUUAUUUUUGUUUAUAUUAUUAAUGAAAAUAAUUAAAUAUUAGUUUGAACAUAUUUUUUGCUUUUUCUUUUUGAAUUUUAAAAUUUUGAUAAAUUUCACGUAAAAUAUAAUAAUUCAUCAUAAUAUGUUUUAAAAAGCACCAUUAAAACUUUUGAAAGUUUAGAUAAUCAAAAAUUUAAAUUUUAAGCCUUUUUUUUAAAAGCCAUUAUCCUUUUAAGAUAAGAAUAAAAAAGGAUAAGUUAAUAACAUCUCUUUAAAAAUACAAAAAAAAAAAAAAGAAGAAAUCUAUCCAUCCAAUAUUAAUUUCUUCAAAUAUAUAUUUUUUGCAUUUAGAUGAUAAGUGGAAUGGAAGUUAAUUUAGAUCAAGUUUAAAAUUUUAUUUUGCCACAUGGUCAUUAGUUACAUUAAUAAAAUUUUAAAAAUAAAGAUAAUAAAAAAUAUUAAGGCUAUGUUUGAUUUUAAAAAUAUUAAGAAAAAUAAUUUUGAUUCCAUCACAAAUAGUAUAUAAAAAAAUCAAAUAUAAUUAAAAUUCAUCAAAAAAUUAUAUAUAUUUAAAUUAUUUAAUCUUUAUAUAAUAAAGAAAAUUAAGUAAAAUGAAUUUUAAAAAUAUAUAAAAAUAAUUAAUUAAAUUAACAAAAAAAUUAUUCUAAUUUUUUUAUUUUAUUUUAUUUCAUAUUUUUCCUCAGUUUUUUUUAGAAACAAACAUAACAUAAGGAAAUUAACCAAAGAAUUAGAAAUCACAAAAGAUAUAAGUAUUGAAGUGUCACUCUGGGUUGGUUUUUGUUGGAAAGAAAGAAAUCGAAAAUCAAAUCCGUAAAGUCGAGCUUCACCAUCAAAUUCGACUCUCCCCAUCUCCUCGUAUCAAUCAAGGAAGGAAAAUUCGAAAAGGAGAAGUAAAGAAUAUGAAAAUAAAAGGAUUCUAGAUAGUUAUACCAUGUUUGAAAAUUAUGACAUGUUACCUUAUGAGGCGCGACUAAAAAGUUGUGAUUUCAGUGAUGCUUAACUUUUUCUAAAAUUAAACUAUUUUCUAUUACUUACCUUAAAAAACUGAAAUAGACUCAAAAUUAUUAUUUUUGUUUAUAUUAUUAAUGAAAAUAAUUAAAUAUUAGUUUGAAUAUAUUUUUUGCUUUUUCUUUUUAAAAUUUAAAAUUUUGAUAAAUUUCACGUAAAAUAUAAUAAUUCAUCAUAAUAUGUUUUAAAAAUUACCAUUAAAACUUUUGAAAUUUAAGAUAAUCAAAAUUUUAAAUUUUAAGCCUUUUUUUUUAAAGCCAUUAUCCUUUUAAAAAUUACCUUUAAAACUUUUGAAAUUUAAGAUAAUAAUAAUUUUUUUAAAAAUUUUAAGCCUUUUUAAAAAGCCAUUGUCCUUUUAAGAUAAGAAUAAAAAGGGAUAAGUUAAUAACAUCUCUUUAAAAAUACAAAAAAUAAGAAAUCUAUCCAUCCAAUAUUGAUUUCUUCAAAUAUAUAUUUUUUUUGCAUUUAGAUGAUAAGUUGAAUGGAAGUUAAUUUAGAUCAAGUUUAAAAUUUUAUUUAGAUGAUAAUAAGAAAUAUUAAUGCUAUGUUUGGUUUUAAAAAUAUUAAGAAAAAUAAUUUUCAUUCCAUCAUAAAAAAUAUAUAUAAAAAAAUCAAAUAUAAUUAAAAUUCAUCAAAAAUUUAAAUUAUUUAAUUUUUAUAUAAUAAAGAGAAAUAAAUAAAAUGAAUUUUAAAAAAUAUAUUAAAAUAAUUAAUUAAAUUAAAAAAAAUUCUUCUAUUUUUUUUAUUUCUCUUUUUUCAUAUUUUUCCUCAAUUUUUUCAGAAACAAACAUAACAUAAGGAAAUUAACCAAAGAAUUAGAAACCACAAAAGAUAUAAGUAUUGAAGUGAUUGGUUUUUGUUGGAAAGAAAGAAAUCGAAAAUCAAAUCCAUAAAGUCGGGCUUCACCAUCAAACCAAAUCAAUCUUAAUGAUGAUUGAAAAUUGAACCGAUUCAGUCAAAGUUUGAUUGGAUUGGAUCAAUUUUAUUGGGGUUUAGGCUUCCUAUGCAAGCCUCAGUCUUAGUAGAUUCAUUGUCCAGUCUUCACCAGGUAGACAAAACGGGGCCCUGUUGUCCAGUCUUGGGAGCACGAACCCAAACCAUAGCUCAAGCGCAAAAAGAGGCCCACCCAUUCAGGCCCAAUGAGCUACGGCCUAGAUCGCUGCCACAGUUGUCGUUGAGCCUGGUUAUAACUUCUAAGCAUCUCCACCGCCAUUUUCACUCUCAUCUCGACCUCACCAGUUCAGCGUCGGCGGACUCAAUCAGACCCUCCCCUUUUCUCUGUGCUUCAACCAUGGCGACCGUGAUGCAGAAAAUCAAAGAUAUCGAAGAUGAGGUAUUAUUCUUCUCGACAAUCUCAAACCCUAGCUCCAUUUCGCACUCUUGGCUCGUUUCUGAGAGAAUAAGAGAGCGUAAAAUCCAUAUUUUUCGUGAAUCCUGUUAUUAUUAAUCAUAAUUUUCGUUUUCCUACUUUUUUGUUAGCAAAUAAUGGAAAAAAGGGACGUUCAUUAGAAGCGAAUUUUCUCAGACAAAGGCUAAUAUUUUUCAUGGAAUUAUCGCUCACUCAAAUCUUGUUUUGUAUUGUGAAAGAAGAAAUUUAUUGGUAUAAUAAUUGGUUUUAUUGAUUGGUAUUAUGAUUUAUGAACUCCGUAGAAACUUGUCUGGAACUAUCAUUCUUAUCGUCAAGAAGCUUGUGGGUGUUACCAUUGGCACAUGAUUGUAAAUUAUGAUUUGGAUAUCAUUGAUUUUUGUUUUAUGGGUUUGUACAUAAGACCUCUCAAAUGUUAUUUUAAAUUCAUGGAUUUGGAUUUUAAGUUGUAAUGAUCUUUGUCUAGAUUUGCAAUGUGGUAAGUUUUUAUGGAGGAUUCGGAAUUGGGGACGGAGAUUUUAAUCCAGCAGCUCUAAGUUGUAAAAUUCAAAUGAUACUUAGGAGUUCUUGGUUCCAUGGUAAUUGUUUUGGAGUUGUGACACAGCCUUUAUGAUUUGCUUUGUUGUUUUUUGCAGAUGGCAAGAACUCAGAAGAAUAAAGCUACAGCUCAUCAUCUGGGCUUGUUAAAGGUACCUGUCUUUCUGUUUCUUAGUAUUUGUUUUGUAAAUGUGUUUUUUUUUUUAUAAGUAAAGAGAAUUUCAUAUAUAAAGAGACGCCAAAAAAGAGACUCAAGGUAUACAAUACCUAUACACCCACCACCAAAAAGGCCAAAAAAGAAUAAGAAAAACACCCAACUGGCCCAAAAAACAACCUUAAUAGGAGCUCAACCAAUCAAUAAAAUUAACCAUAGUUAGAGGGCAAUUAACUAUAAACAACUUAGCCUCAGACCAAAGAGAAAAAACAAAAGAGUAUUUCAUUCUUUGGAUUGACAACGCAUCAUCCUUGAAAGUCAAUCUAUUUCUGACUUUCCAAACCAUCCAAAAAAUAUAAAGAGGAGCAGCUCUCCACACCUUCUUGCGCUUUUUGCCCACAAAAGAACCAUGUCAGCUAAGGAGAGUCUCUCUAACUGAAGAAGGCAGCACCCAAGACACCCCAAACAAAGUAAAGAGUAAAUCCCAUAAGACCCUUGUUUUUUAACAAUGUAGAAGAAGAUGGUCUAUGGUCUCCUCAUUCUCAAGACACAUAAAACAUCUAUUUUCCAAGGCUCAUCCUCUUUUCUUAACAAGAUCUAGGGUUAAGGCUUUACCCCACGUAGCCUCCCACGCAAAGAAACUAAUCUUGGGUUGUACCCACACAUUCCAAAUGCUGUUAGAAGGAAACAAAUAAGGGUAGUCCGCUUCUAGAGCAAGGUAGAGAGACUUGGCCCAGAACUUUCCACUCUUUGUUUCAAUCCAAACCACCAUAUCAUCCACAUCUUCAAGCACUCUCUUCCCAUGAAGACGCUCCAAGAAUCUUUCCGCCUCCUCCACCUCCCAAUCAUUUAGGGCUCUUGAAAAGCGGGGAUUCCAACCCCCCCAACCCUCCUCAACCAAGGGGUCCCAAAUAUCCGCCACUCAUGCUUCCUUAUCAACAGACAAAACAAAUAAGGAAGGAAAUGACACACACAAAGGGGAGUCCCCACACCAUUUAUCCCUCCAAAACCUCACCCUCCGCCCAUUACCUACACGGAAUGAAAUCCGAGCGCCCACCAACUCCCAAUCCAUCCUUAUUCCUUUCCAAAGCCCCACACCAUGCGCCUCUCUCACUUCCCGAGAGCACCAACCCCCUCUAUCUUCCCCAUACUUCCCUCUAAUCACUUGAUUCCACAAAGCCUCUCUCUCAUUUGCUAAGCGCCAAUUCCAUUUAGAAAGAAGAGUCUUAUUGAGGAUGGAAAGACAUUUAACCCCCAAACCCCCUUUCUUUUUACUUAAGCACCCCAACUCCCAUCUUACUAAAUGUGGUUUUCGCUCCAAAUUGCCACCACCCCAAAGGAAAUCCCUUUGAAUUUACUCUAAUCUCCGGCUAACUGAGUUUGGCAAGCACAACAAGGACAUAAAAUAAAUAGGAAGAUUCGACAAGGUACUUCGGAUUAGAGUCGCUCUUCCUCCCUUAGAUAAGUAUUGUCUCUUCCACAUGGCCAACCUUCUAUGGAAGCACUCUUCCACUCCAUCCCACAUUGACACUGACUUAAACGGAGCACCCAAGGGAAGGCCCAAAUAAGUGGACGAGAGACUACCCACUCUACAACCAAAAUCCAAAAUGAGAUCAUCAACAUUCUCUACCCUCCCUACUGAAAUGAGUUCACUCUUCUCCAAGUUUAUUCUCAACCCCGACACAGCUUCAAACCACAUAAGCAACCAACUUAGGUAAGUCAGAUGGUCUUGAGAAGCUUGGCAGAACACCAGAGUAUCAUCAACAAACAACAGAUGGGAAAUCUGAACUCCUUCUUCACUCUUACCCUUCACCCUAUAGCCCGACAUAAAACCUCCAUCCAUAACCCUUUUAAUAAAAAAGCUAAAAACCUCCAUGACAAUCACAAAUAGGUAAGGCGAAAGAGGAUCGCCUUACCUCAACCCCCUUGAGCUUUGAAAGAAACCCGUAGAAGUGCCAUUAACCAACGCAGAGAAGCUUGCAGUGGAUAUGCACCACUGCAUAAUGUGUUGUAAGGCAUAAUGUGUAUAUUAUACAUGGGUUGAGUCUAUAUAAGGAUAUAGUUUCUUCAGCGAAGGAGGGAGUUGGGGAGGGAGUCUUACAUUUUUAUUGUGAUGUAGGAACUUACAUAUUCUUGUUGUGGAAACUUGCAUUAUUGUUGUAGAUUUAUCAUGUGAUGGAUCAUUGUGUAUGUUGACCUAACAUUUUAAAGGAAAAAACACUGCCACUGCCAUUGAUGAUAUAAAUCUAGGUCAAAAGUUAGCACAAGUGUGGUAUUAGAUGGGUUGGAGACUAAUAUAUUUUUAGGGAAAAAAAUUGAUAAUAGAGUUUUCUUGAGCACUAAAUAAACAAUUCAAUUCACAUGUAGUUUAUCUAUGUAUAUCAUAUCUAUAGACUAGAUGUUGUGCAUACUGGUGAAGUGGUGAUAAAUAUUGUUCAAUAGGAGUAUAACUUUUUCUAUUGUGUAGAACAAGUUUUUGAUUUUUCAUAUUUAAAUGCAUGCUAGAGAAACUGCCAAAGUUGGAUUGCAGUGUAUUUUUUAAGAAUUUCUUGAUGUGUUUUUUUAAUUAUUGAUUUUCCAAUGAAAAACAAUCUGAAUGUCAUUGAUUGUCUCCUGCUAGGCUAAACUUGCAAAACUACGAAGGGAACUCCUUGCACCCUCAUCAAAAGGUGCUGGUGGUCCUGGUGAAGGUUUUGAUGUUACUAAAAGUGGAGAUUCAAGAGUUGGUCUGGUUGGUUUCCCUUCAGUUGGGAAGUCCACACUUCUAAAUAAAUUAACAGGCACUUUUUCUGAGGUUUGAAAUCUUUCCAUUGUGAUUUAUAUAUCUUAAGGAAUUUUUAAGUUGUCUGAUAUUUUUUUAUGUUUUACAGGUUGCUUCCUAUGAAUUUACUACCUUAACUUGCAUUCCUGGUGUGAUAACGUAUCGAGGAGCUAAAAUUCAGGUAGUAAUUCCUUCAAAGAUGUUAAUGUGUACUUGGAUUAUGUCCCCUUUGGCAUUCAGUAGGUUGGCCUUAUUAAUUCUUUAAAAGGAAAAAAUCUUCACUUGCAGAUGUUCUGGAGGUCCUCUACUCUACUUUGACUUUGGCAAUGGAUAAUAGCUAAAAAUUUUGAUAUAUCAUGUAAUAUUAGAAACAAUCCGGAGAGCAAUUAUUGGUCACAUGUUGGGGAUUUAAUUAUUGCUGUUGAUAAAAUGAACACGAGCAAAAUAACCUUAUAUUGUGACUCUUAAGUAGCACUUGCAACUUUUGGUAUUUAAGAGAAUAUAUUGUUCAAGAAUGACUUAUUGGAUCAGUUAGGGAAAAAUAAUUGUAAAUUUUUAUUGAAAGAUGGUAAAUGUAUCAAAGAAAAUUAUAUAAUUCCAUUUCUUUCAUCUGUUUUGCACCCGUUUAUUUCACGGUUCUUCAAUUUUUGUGUUAUAAAACAAUGACUUGACCGAUAAAAGAAUUGCCAGUAUACUGCACAAGGAAUGACUAUAUAUAUUGUGGUCUUAUGAAUUGGUAAAGGUUACAGAUGCAUUUUAUUUACAAAAUUCAGUAAUUACAUGAAUCAAACUGGCUGAUAAAGUAAAUUUUUUUAUUAGAGAAAGAAAAUGCUGUAUUGUGUUUUGUUUUUCAUUGCUUCUUUUCUGGCAUAGGGUGUGAAGUGAUAUGCUGUUUGUUUAACAUCCUUUACAUUUUCUGCUUCUGUUUUUCUUAUUGUACUGAGCAUUUUGUUUGAAAAGUCCUCCCUUGGGUUAUUUCCUUGAUUAAUCAACUUGGAGUUAUUUACUUACUUCAAGGUAUUUCAUGGCAAAUAAUAUCUACGUGCUUGUGGCCUUGUGAGCCCUGGUGCUCAAUGCUUGAUUUUACUUCUAUUGAUAGGUUUUCUUUAAUUCUUUUUUUUUUUUUUUUUUAAUUGAGUUUCUGUGUGGUUGGCAGUUGUUGGAUCUCCCUGGUAUUAUUGAGGGUGCUAAGGAUGGAAAAGGUAGAGGAAGGCAGGUAAGAUGUGCCUACUGUUGUCUCAGAGAACUUGGUUGCCUGCUAUCUCAUGUGAGAUGUAUGCCACAAAUGUAUAGUAAAAGACCUGCUUCAUGUUGCUUACUCUUGAUAUCUAUGUUACCUAGAUAUUUAUCUUUUUCCAAUUCUUUUGACCCUUUGAUGGGUGCUUUUAACAUCUAUUUAUUAAUUAAUUAAUUAUAUAUAUAUAUAUAUAUAUAUUCUUUUAUUAGCAUAUCUUUCUUUAUGCCAUAAAAUGCUGUUCUUGGGAUCACAACCAGGGAAACAUCAAACCUCUGGUUAUGUAACAUUAUGGCUUGUAAAAAUGAUAAGACAUUGAAUGCUAUAUACAACGGAUACAUCCAUUUAUUAUUCUAAAGAGGAUGUUCCAAUCUCAGGUUUGGAUGUCAUAAAGUGUAUGCCUCAAAUGGACACUCAAUAUUGUGUUAAUCUCCCAUGUUGAACGAGAGAUGAAUUUUGCAUGGCUAUAGGAUAUGUCCUGGACAUAGCUGCUUUAGGGAACAAGUGUGAAAAACUAUUGGACUAAGGAAUAGGAAUGAUUUAUACUUCAUGCCAAGAUGUCUAGCUUGCUUUCUUAACCUCUUUCUAUGUUCCUUGCAUUUAUUUUAGUGGGUGAAUUGUUCAUUCAGAGAUGGUUAAACUUGCAUAGAUACUUCAUUCUACCCAAAAAGGUAGGGAGGGAAAAUGGUAUAUAUUUGUCAUGCAAAAGGAUUUGGCCAUCUCCUUUGAAAACCAAUUGGAUGCUAGUGACAUCAAACUAGUCCAUUUUAGAUGGUUCAAGUCACACCAAAUCUCAAGCCAAGAACCAUAGGCAUAUGUCCUGGGCCAAUAUCAAAUCCCAAGAACACACAAUCUUGGACUUACUUCUUGAGCCAAUACCAAAUUUUGAGCCCACACAGCUUUGGGCAUAAUUUUCAAGCCAACAUCAAAUCCCAAGCAUACUCUAUCCUGAGUUUUACUUAUUAAGUCAUUAUUUUUUAGGGGACCAACAUUGUUGCUAACCUAAUAAAUUCCUCCCCUGACAAGGCACUCCUUGAGACUCCUCUGAAAAUCAGUGGCUUCUAGUGAGAUCAAGCUAAUCCCUUUUAUAUGGUUCAGGUCCUACAAAAUCCCGAUCAAACAACUUAAGGCAUACUUCCUAGGCCGAUACCAAAUCCUAAGCACAAACAAUUUAGGACUACUUCUUGAACCAUACCAAAUCUCAAGCCCAAACAACCUUGGGCAUAUUUCCCUGGUCAAAACCAAAUUCUAAGCACGUAAACAUCAGGCCUUACUUUUUAAGCCAUCAUUUUACUAGGGAGCAGCAUUGUUGUCAACCUGACAAUGUUGACAAUUCAACAUUGUCCUUCAGUUCAAAGAUUUUGUGUUAGAUAUAUUGCAUGUUGCCACCUGAUGCAUAUUCCAAAUUCAUAUAGUCACUGUCUGUUCUUAAAUUGGAGAGUGGAAGAGAUUCAAUGGCAACUCUACACUGAAAAUGCUGAUUUCUUUCUGCAAACAUAACAACCACCUGUGCUUCAAUUUGCGGGGACAUUUAUUGAUGUGUAGGGUUUCAGAGAUUGUUUGAAUUCGGUACCUUGGUUGCUUAUGCAAAUGCUGAUCGCCAGUCACUUGACAAUAUGAAGACAGUCAGAUCAACUGCUCAAAAUGUCUUUUUUAUGCAAUUUCUUAGAGUGGGUUAUUGUGGAUUUAUAUGAGGUGUCAAUGUCUAUGGUAAACUUUGUUAAUUGGGUAAGCUCUAAGUUAGGGGAAGGAGUUAUUCUGUUUCUUGUUUCUCUCUUCUUGUUCUUUGUCUCUUGGCACCCUUUUAUAUGUCUUGUGUACUUCGGUACACCCUUUUGCUAGAUACUGUUAAUAUAUUUCUAUGCUGGCCUAUCAAAAAAUGUUUUAAGGGCGAUCAAGAUAUCAUCAAAAUAUUAUCCAUGGGUUUUAAUGUCCCUUUUUUUUUUUUUUUUUUUUUUCCUUUUUCCCUGUUUUUGAUUCCACUAUGUUAAUUUUGGGGCAUCAAUGCUGCUGAAUGUGAUUCAUACAUGAGCUUCCUCCCUUUGUUGACUGGUUACUAGUUGUUCACUGGACAUUUUUGUCUAGACUCUUAAUUUGUGGCAUAUGAUUGCAUAGGAUCUAGUAUUCAUUACAUUAUUCUGGGUUAAACCUCUGGUGGACAAUUUAUUUAGUAUGUGGAAGUUAGAAUAUUGAUAAUAAUCACUUAGUAUGUAAUGUUUCUUGUUUGUAUGCAAUCUUCAUAUGCUCAUCCUUCUGGCUCAAUAUAUUAAAAUGGCAUGUCAUCAAUAUCCAGGUUAUCAGCACUGCUAGAACAUGCAAUUGCAUUUUGAUUGUUCUUGAUGCAAUAAAGCCAAUUACUCACAAGCGUCUGAUAGAGAAAGAGCUCGAGGGAUUUGGCAUAAGGUAAGUUGGUUAUACUUGAAAUUUGUGCUCUCUCUUUGCAGUUCUGGUUCAUUUUUUUGGGGAAAGGUAUAGCGUCCAGCUUCUACCUGAAAAACCCCUUUUUUCCUUUAUGCUUGUGUUUAAAUAAAGUGUGAGUAAUUUUUGGGGGGUCAAUAUAUGAAAAUGGUGCUGCUUUACUGUAUAUGAAAACUGAGUAAUUUUUUGCCCUUUUACUUCUUUCUUUCUUUCUGACUACUGUUAAUUAUAUUAUAAUUCUAUGAAGCUUAUUGUCUAUCUGUUCCCUAUAGUCAAUUCUCCGCCUAUGAUUAAAUUUACUGGCUUUCACUUCUUAGCUGAUUCUGAUAAUUCAAAUUCUAUGUAGUGCACUGCUGCUAUGAAGAAUUGGAUUACAUGGUGAUCUAAUCUAAUUUCAGUGGUGGAUAAUAAUAAGUGUUUUUUUUUAUAUUUGAGAAUAGUACUAAUGAAUCUUUUGAAAAAUGGAAAUUUCGGUCAUCACCGUCUUCAUGACAUUAAACUUUAUCCAUUUGUGGGAUCUUAAUUAUAAGUUGAAAAUAAAAUCGUUCAACUCCAUAGGAAAUUAAUAUUGCCAUUAGUAUGUGAAUUUUGGUACCAAAUCCUGUUAGUUGUCAGAAUAUCGUUAAUGAAGGCAUCCCAUUUCUCAUCCAUAAAACCUUUUAACUCUUGCUUUUUAUGUACGAGUCUAUAGAUUUAAUGGAAUCAUUUGAUUACUUUAUGAAAGCCAGCAGCUUGUCAUAGAAUAUAAAAUUUAAGCACGUCAGAUUCUCAGAUGUUCUGCAGUAUGAAGUGCCUGACUACUUACUGUUCAUUGCUUUAUAUAGGCAAGUGAGAAGGUUUUAAAUUUUCUGUCUGUUAUCUGGUAGGAUUUAUUUGGAUUAUUUGGGUAUUAAAAAGACUUGUUGAAGUUCUGCUGUAUGAUCAUCUGCUUCAUAAAAGAGUCGACUUGUGGACCUCUUGUAUUUUGUACUUAUUUAUUUUGUUGUCUGGAAACAGGUUAAACAAGGAACCACCAAAUCUGACCUUCAGGAAGAAAGAUAAGGGUGGGAUUAAUUUCACAUCUACAGUUACCAACACAAAUCUGGAUCUUGAAACUGUGAAGGCAAUAUGUAGCGAAUACAGAAUUCACAAUGCUGAUGUUUCUCUUAGAUACGAUGCAACUGCUGAUGACCUCAUAGAUGUUAUUGAGGGUAGUAGGGUAUAUAUACCUUGCAUCUAUGCUGUGAACAAGAUUGAUCAGAUAACACUUGAAGAGUUGGAGGUUCUAGAUAAGCUUCCUCACUACUGUCCAGUCAGGUAUAAUUAGGCCUUUUUUUUUUUUCUUUUUCCAUUAAGUGCCUUUUGCUUUCAUUUGAAAAAUCUUGUUUUAUAAAAUUGGAAAAUAAAAACAAACGUUGACCUGAAAGGUGAAAUUUUGAGAAAAAGAUCCUUAUCUGUACUUUUUUGUUUUUCCUAGAGAGGAUGUGGUAAUGAAGAGGUGAACCAUUGACUUUUUGACAAGUGAUCAUUAUGUUUUUCUUGUGAAUUUUCUUAGAAUAUGCUUUAUGCGUUUUCCACAUCAACUUAUUGUCUCCACUGAAUUAGGGACUCUUCCCUGCUAAAUUUUUGUUAUAUUCAAUUUUUUUUUUGGUCAAAAGAUGAAACAAAAAAUAUAUACAAUAAUUGUAGAAACAUUGAUGGAUUUUGUGAAAUAUAUCCUUCAGACAUCUUGACCGUGAACUUGGAAGUUAAUUCCGAUUGGGGGUGUCAAAAAGGCUGAUUGGUCUUAUCAAAGGGGGAAAAAAGGGCCGGGAGGGAGAGAGGAGAGGGGGGAGGUUGAGAGAAACAUAGGAGCUGUGCCAAAAAUUGUAGUGAUAAAUGAAAUUCAGAUUCUCUAGCCACAUGUGGAUGGUUUAGGUGAUUGGUAGAGUUUUUGUGACCACAAUCGCAUGGGCUGUAUUGUUCUUUCAGAGGAAAUUUAUCUUUUUGGGGCUGUUAUUGACAAAGAUCUUCCUCCCACCCUCCACGCUUGAUGGUAACCCUAAAAAUGGAGAUGUGGAAUGUUUUCUCUUGUUUUGCUCCUGAGUUUUUAGGAAGUGGUAUAUUAGCAUUCUACUAGCUUCUAUCUAUGUUAGUAAAAGCUUGGAUGUAGUCUUCAAACAUUAACGCAGUCUGUCCCAUUGAGACUUUGUGAAAGCUUGAAGUUUCACUACCCUACAACAGAUAUUCUCUGUUUUUAUGUUGUUCUGAGUGUUUAGGAAGUGAGAUAGUAGUAGCCUACUUGCUGCAAUCUUUGUCGUAAAUCUUGGGACACAGUCUCUACAUAUGUAAUGCAGUUUGUCAUAGUGAAACUUUGUGAAAGAAGUUUGAAUACCCUACAACAGAUGAAGAUGUAAAAUAUUUUCUCUUGUCAUUUAGUCCAAGAAUUUAGGAAGUGAAAAUAUCAGUAGCCUCUAGCUUCAAUCUAUGUUCAAAUUAAAGAAUUUUUUUGUUUGUAACUUAUGGAGCUGGGCCAAAGUGUAUUUAGGCGAGGAGUCUCUCCCUUAUAGGCUUUUUGGAGUGGGUAGCAUCCACUUAAGGGAAGGUAGUUCUUUUUUUGGUCUUGUAGCUCCUUUUUGAGGCUUUAGCCGCCUUGUAUACUCCCUAUAUGCUCUGUGGCUUUUAGCCUUUUUCUAAUGCAUAUCUUGUUUACUUAUCAAAAAAAAUAAAGCUUGGGAAAGUCUUAAAACAUGAAUGCAAUUGUUCAUAUUGAGACUGGUUCUGCUGUUGAUUGAAUGUCUUGGAUUUACCCAGUACUGGUUGCGGUAGAUGCGGUCAGCAUUCCAAGGUUUGGGUUCCUAUGGAGGGUCCAGAGGGCUCAGCCAUGGGAGGUUCCUCGGUUAUCAGAAGAGAGGAAAAAAAAAGGGGACUGGUGAUAUCCGUGACAAAACAGUGCAUGAUUACGAUUGGCCUGACUAUAGCUCAUAACUCCUAAUUUUAAUCUUCCUAAUUUGUAGGCCCAAGUAAUUGGGAUUAAAGCUGUGUUGAAUUGAAGAUCUUAUAUCCCAUCAAGUGUGAACAGUUGGUUUUCUAUUGGUGUCAUUGUUUUUGCCAAAUAAUCUUAUUCUAGUCAUUCAUUUGAGGUUUUUCAUUUCUCCCUUUUUGGUUGUGGUUUGAUAUGAUUAUUGCUGCAGUGCUCACCUGGAGUGGAACCUUGAUGGUCUGCUAGAAAAGAUAUGGGAGUAUCUUGAUUUAACUCGCAUAUACACAAAGCCCAAGGGAAUGAAUCCCGAUUAUGAAGAUCCUGUAAUUUUAUCAUCCAAAAGGAGGACAGUUGAGGACUUCUGCAGCAGAAUCCACAAGGACAUGCUCAAACAAUUUAAGUAGUAAGUGCUCUUUCCUAAUCUUCCAUGUACUCUAGAAUUUUGAUUUCUUGAGAAUUUUUAAAGCUCCUUCACCAUCAUCUAAGAACAAAAAAAAAAAAUUGCUUUACUUACUAUUUGAAAUUUAUAUUUAUAUUUUUAUAAAUUCUAACCUAAUAUGAAUUAGUUUUACUUGAUUCUUUUUUGAAAAACUGCUACAUCUACAUGGGCCACUUUUCGAUAUAGUAGGAGUUUUUUCCAAUGCAGGUUAUCAUAGGAGUUAUACUUGGUGGAUCUGUAAUUAUAGUUUUAGGCUACUGUUCAAGAAUGUUUUUAAAAACAGCUUUUGAGAAGAGUUAUUAAAAACAAUUCGUAAUUGUUUUUUGGAGCAAGAUUCAAGAUACUAUGUAUUCAUGUAGAAUGUAAAAGUUUUUAAAGUAUAGUUCAUAUUUUCAGUUAUACUCUACUUUAAACAACUAAAAACACCUUAAAUUUGUUUUUUUUUUUUAAAUCCGGUUUUAGAACAAAAUAUCAAAAAACCUUUUUCUAUCAAAAGUUUAUCAAGCGUGUCCUUUUUGUUUAAAAGAAUGGUUUUCAAAAACAAUUUCCAAGCAAGGCCCUAUGCAAAAUCCAAACCGGAGAAGACUACUUUCUAUCCUAGCUGAAUAUCCUCUUUGGGUUUGAAUAAAUAUUUGUAGACAUCAUCACGAUUUUACCUUGCUGAAUCCUAAUGCAUUUUCUGGGUAAAUGUUGCAGUGCAUUAGUCUGGGGAUCAAGCGUGAAACACAAGCCCCAAAGAGUUGGCAGGGUUGAUUCUAUGAACCGACUCUAUAAUAAUCUUCAUUUCGUUUUAUUGUAUCUCUUAAUUUACAUUUGGUGCCUUUUGCAAACCAGGAGCAUGAACUGGAAGAUGAAGAUGUCGUUCAGAUUAUCAAAAAGGUGUGAGUGUAGACCUUAAAAUCAGUCACAUAUCCACAUUUGCGUGUCCAAGGAGAUUUUCUCGGUGAGUAGAGUUUCCAUGUCCAGAUUGCUUUGCUUCAAAACUUUGCAAUAGAGCAUGCAGCAUCCUCUCUGUUUCUUGGUGGAUUAGGUAGAAGAUAAGACAGCUUGAUGUGUAAUUAAGCCAUUUUGUUGUCAAGCGCUUUUUAUCUGGAUUAUAUAUCAUGUAUGAUCUUGCACUGUAAGGUUAAAAAGAGGUCGGAAAAGGACUUAUAUAAACCAUGGGAUUGAUGAGAAUUUAAUGUUAUAUUGGCACUAGAAGAAAUUAUUAUAAGCCAUUGCCAGCUUGUUGGUGAAAUGUUUCUUCAAAGUUAUGAUUUAGGAAUUGGGAUUGUUUUCAAGUCCUAAAAAUAGUUUUAAAUUGUUUUUUGAAGUAAACUUGUCUUUGAGAACUUCAGUUUUUUUGGACUUAUUUUCUUUGAAGUUAUUAUGUAAAAUGUAAAAGCAUUGAAAAUAUUUUUCAUAUUUUCAAUAGUUUCUUAAAAUAUUCAAAAAAUAAAUGUUCACUUUGUGCUUAAAAAUAAUUUGUUUCAAAAUAUUAAAAAAAGAAAAAAAACUGAUCUCAAUUAAAAUUUUAUCACAUGUUUUUUAAAUUAAAAAAUUUAUUGAAAACAGUUUGCAAAUGGAUCCCUAAUCAUAUUUUUCAUAUUUUCAAUAGUUUCUGAAAAUGCUCAAAAUAAAAAUUUGAAAAUGCACUAAAUUUAUUCUUAAAAAUAAUUUAUUUCUUAUUUCAAAUCAUAAAAACAUAUUAACAAGUUAUUUUCAAAUAGGUCUAAUUUUAGAGCUCAUUUAAACAUAAUUUUGAGAGGGUUAGAAAAGUGCCGUAAUGUUUGAAGGAAACACAAUGGUUUGACGAACUUCUCAAGACCCGUUCUUAAAUCUAGAAAAUCAUUGAAAAUGAUUCUUGAACAACUUUUCCAAAAUUUAAAGGGUGUUUGAUAAAUAAAUUUAUUGAGUUAAUAGGAUUUAAUGAUUUAGUUUAAAUUAUUAAAUAUGUUUAGUAAAAUAAUUUAAUUUCAAAGUUUAAAAUUAAAAAGAAGCAUUUCAAGAUCUUUAUCAGCAAGGAUUAUAGCCCUUGAAGCUCCUUCCUUUCAUAAUAGUUGAAUUUCUCAACCUUUAUGAUAAUGAUAGUCUUAAAAGAACAAAGGUCAUAACUACAAUACUUUUCAAAAACUUAACACUAAUGUUUAAUGACUUAAAAUGACUAUAAGUUAAAUUAUAGUUAAGUUAUUAAUUUGUACUAAGUAAUUAAAUUGAUUUACUAAAAUCAUUUUUAAUUUUAAGUCACAAUAUCAUGGAUUGUUUAGAUUAAUUUUUAAAAAGUCAAAAGUUCUUCUCUAAGCUCAAUAAGAACUUCUAUAUGUGUUUGACUAGUUUAGUUCAAAAAAUUUGAUAUGAAAGUAAGAAAAAUAUUACUUAUAAUAGAAAUCCUAUUUUCGAUCGCAAUAUGUUAUUUUAUAUUUAAUAAAAAUUUUACAAUAUCAAUAUUACUUAUUAAAAAUUAUAACUUUGUUUUGGGUUUGACUUUAACUUUCAACCAAAUAUCGAAAGCUAUUCUAAAUAGAAAUUAUAUUUAAUAUGCUUAUAACUUAAAUUAAGUCAUUAAAUUAUAUUAAGUUGAUAAAUUUAAAGAGUGAUUUCUCCUACUAUGUUGUGUAAAAUUCACAUAUAAAAAAAAAUGUGAUUUAUGACCACCCAACGAACAAUUUUUUUAAUAAAAUUGUCUAAUAACAAGUUUCUAAACUCCCUUUUAAGUUGGUAUUGAAGGUACAAACUACCUCCACCUAAUUAGAAAGACCUAUAAAGUUACGCUAUUCCUUGCUAUUUGCUUUAGGCCUUUCACAUGCGACUUAGGUGGAGGCAAAGGCAGCCUCCACCAGGACACCAGGAUGCCAGGCUAUCAUCAGUGAGAAUGGAAGCUUCUUCCUCUCUUUCCUUACUAAAAUUGGAAGCUUCUGCCAAAGUCAUCUCAAAGGAUAGACUAACGUACACGUAACUACUGAAUUUCCAGGAUAUGUUUAGUAUUUACAGCUGAAACUGACACAUCUUCUACUAAUGAAUAACCCAAAUAUCAUGGAGAAUGUUUAGUAUUUACAGCUGGAGCCUGGAACUGACACAUCUACUAAUGAAUAACCUAGAUAUCACGGAGAAAGCAAGAGAGGAGAUGGAUUCAGUUGUUGGCAGAAACAGGUAAGUAGAUGAAUCAGAUUUUGCAUUCCUUCCCUACCUAUGUCUUUGUUCGGACUCUUAGGUUAAUCAACUUAAUAACUAAAAAUAACUUAAUAAUUUAAUUUAAAUUAUUAAAUAAAUUAAACAUAUUUAAUAAAAUAAUUUAAUAUCAUAAUUUAAAAUUAAAAAUAAUUAAUUUAUUAUUAUUAUUAUUAUUUAUAUCUAAGAAAAAUAUAUUUAACAAUUAUAACUUUAUAUUCAUGACUUAUUAUUUACCAUAAAUGUUUUAAGGUUAUCUUAUAAAUCUAAAAUAUUUUAAGUAUAGAUGUUUGAUAAAUAAAUUUAUUAUUUAAGAUAAAUCAAAACAAAUGUUAGUUAAAUUUUUUAAUAAAAUAUAUUAAUCAUAAUUAAUGAAAGUAAAAUAUUAAUUUAAUAACUUAAAAUAAAAAUAAAAAUAAAUAAUAAAUUUUAAAUUAAUAACUUAAAACUAAUUUAAGUUAUUGAGUAAUAAGUAUUAAGUUAAUGAAAUCCAAGCUGUAAAACGCGGGUCCAUUGAUUUUUAGAGAAGCAACGACGGCAGCUACAACAUUCUAGCAGGACCUGGCUACUGGUUAACAUUUGGGCUAUUGCAAGAGACCCAAAGCACCGCGAGAACCCACUUGAGCUCCAGCCUGCGAGGUUCAUCGAUGAGAAAUGGACUUCAGAGGAGGCAGAUGGAAGUUAAGUCAGGGGGAGUGUUUUCAUCUGCUGCCAUUUGGGAGCGGAGGAAGAAGUUGCCCUGGAACUUCACUGGCACUGCAGGUUGUUCAGACAGGACUUGGUGCUUUGAAUGGAAGGUCGGAGAAGGAGAACAUGGUCCCGCAUGGGGACCCUUAGCAUGGGGGAGGCGGGACCAGACAUCACUGCUCUCAAGGGGCUCAGCCUUUGAUUUGUGUGCCAGUGGGCAGUGGCUAGACUCUCUGUAGGCUUAACUAACGUAUUUCCUCAACUAAUGGUCCCUGCAUAAUGGUUUACCUGCCCAUAUCUACAACAAGAAGUAAUGUUAUUGAAUGCAAUGAGUUUGAUUUCCUUCUUAUGAUGACAUUACCCACUGUCAACUCCCACAAUUUCAUACAGACCCUUGAUUAGUGGCAUAUGGGGCUACAUAUCAUGUAGGGCUAAGUUGGCCCCAUCCCACCCUCAACUGACUUUUGAUUCGACAAGGUGAUGGAUUUGAUUCAUCGAGUUGGGCUUGAAUUGAGUUUUCUCAACCCAAACUUAAUUCAAAUUGAACUCCAAAUAUAUUUAAUAAAAUUUAUUAUUUAUUACUUAAUGACUUAAAUUGAUUUUAAGUUAAAUUAUAUUUUAAUUGUUAACUUACAUAUUAUUAUUUAAUUCUUAAUUUAAGUAUUAAGAUUGUUUGAUAAAAUUAACUUAAAAUAUAUUUUAAAUCAUCAAAUUAAUAUAUUUAUCUUCAUAAAUUAUAAUUAGGGUAAAGAAGGUUGAAUAACAGUAAAAGUUGUGGAAUGACAAAUGAGAUUGUGAAGGUAACUAGAGCAAAUAAGGGUAAAAAGAUAAAAUAAAAAUGUGAACUUAAGAAUUAAUUAAUUAUUUUUACUUAUUACUUAAAGUUGUUUUUUACUUUAAGUUAUAUCAUUAAAUUAUUUUAUCAAACAUACUUAAUUUACUUAAUAACUUCAAUUAAGUUAUUAAAUCAUUUUAAAUUAUUAAGUUAGUUUAUCAAACAUGUAUUUAAAUUUAAACUUAAUUCAAGAUGCGGUCGAAGUUCAUGUAAAAAAUAUCUCGAAAUGUCGCCUCAUGCUAUUCCAUAUUUAAUCCAAUCCAACCCAAUCUUGUAAUAUGAUCCAUAGAUUCCAUACAAAUCAAUUAGUCAGACCAUUGGGUUUAGAAAAUGUGGUUAGUUAGAAUUUAGAUUGCACAUUGGGUUGGAGUCAUUAGCAACAAACACAGUCCAAUCCACCCAAUCCAUCCGAAUUGCAGCCCUAAUAUGAAAAUUCAUUAUAUGUCCAACAAAAUAGUUGAAAAAUCACUUUUAGUGAUUAAAAUAAAUACUCCAAAUAAAAACGCUCAUUAGAUAUCUUAAAAUAACAUGAAAUCAACAAAAUCAUUGAUGCAUAGCACACUACAAAAACGCUUUCAAAAGCACUUUAAGAGUACGUUUAAGAGUGAUUCUAUAAAGCGUUUCUAAUAUUUUUAAUACUUGAAUGAUAAAAUUUUACAAAUAUUAAAAACGUUUUCUAAAAUCGCUAUCAAACAAGCUCUAAAACUAUGUUUGGUAUUGAUUCUAGAAAACGUUUCUAGUCUUUUUAACACUUAAAUAAUAAAAAAUUUCAAAUGUUAAAAAAAUUAAAAGUACUUCCUAAAAUCACUACCAAACGGACUGUAUACUUUCAAAAGCGCUUUAAGUAAUUUUUUUACCAGAAUUACUAAAAAGUGAGCCUUUAAGUUCAUAUAUAUUGAUUCAUUGAACAUUUCAAAGAAGCAGAAGAAAAGAAAACGAAAUGAAGAAUAGAUUAUCAUCACAUUCACAGGCACAUUUUCAUUCCAGUCUGUCUGAAAAGAGUAAUGUAAAGAAAAGAAAACAAAGCCGGGGAACGGGUAAUCUAGAGUAAUGUCAAGAAGAGAAAGCAAAGCGGGAAAGUGGUGAUCAAUCUCCUAAUGCACUAUCAUUACAGUGUUUGAACGUGACAUGCUACUGUCGCUGCUUGAAUCUCAGGCUUUUACACAGCAGCUGAAGCAGCCGAGGAUGCUCCUC
rnacentral:lncRNA from 1 species